rnacentral:lncRNA from 1 species
UUUUUUUUUUAAUCUAAUGAGUAAAGAAAGCCAAGUUUAGAAGAAACACUUCAAUCAUUUAUGAUGGCUUCUCAUGAUAGGAUGGAAAAGAAUGAGAAAAAGACAAAUUAUAUUGGGGCUUCAAUGAAAUGUUAAGAAAAGCAAAUGUGACAAAUUAUUGAAGUUUUUCAAUAGCUCAAGAAAGAGAAAUUAUCAAGUCAACCUGAACAAGCCAAUUAUGUUACUACUAUUAGAAAAUGUGAGGUUAUUGAUAAUAAGAUUGAUAUGAAAACUGAAAAAGAUUCUUCUUAUGCAGGUAUAUUUAAAAAUUAUGGAUUAGUGGAAGUAAAAUUUAAUGAAGAGAGCAUGGAAAAGGAAGAAAAAGUAGCGCCUAAUCUUAGGCUUGAGAAGAAAGAAAAGGAAGCAUUUUUUGGAUCUGAAUUUCAUAAGGCAGCUCAGCCUUAGAGGCCACCUAUUCCUUUUUCCAACCGACUAAAAGAGAACAAAUAAUUUUUUAAAAAUAUUGAGAUUCUUUCUAAAGUUAACACUAAUUUACUUUUGUUAAAUGUUAUUAGGAAUAAGCCAGCUUAUGCAAAGUUAUAUAAAGAGUUGAAUAUCAACAAAAUGCGAUAUAUGAACAAUAAAAAAAGUAAAAGUAGCAAGUGCAGUGCUUCAACAUCAGUUGCCCCUUAAAAUGAAGGAUCUUGGUAGCUUCACCAUUGAUAUUACAUUAGGUGAUAAAAAGGUUAUAAAAACCAUAUUAGAUUUGGGAGUGAGCAUCAACUUGAUGCCUUAUUCAAUUUAUGAACAACUUGGUUUGGGAGAGUUGAAGCCAACCACCAUAUCUUUGCAAAUUGUAGAUAAAUCAAUAAAAUAUCCUAGAGGUAUAAUGGAAGACUUGCUAGUUCAAGUAGGUAAGUUAAUAAUUUCUGUUGAUUUUAUAGUAUUUGAUAUGGAAGAUACACGCAAAGUUGCACGGGCCCAUAGGAGGAUCAAUGGUAGCACAGAUGGGCCUGCAAGCAGCACAGAUGCUGGAGCACCAGCAAUCAAUGGGGGCGCAGAAGGCCUGCAGUGUAGGCAGACGCGACAUCAGCUUCACGAUGCAGUCCGCAUGGCUCGGAAAAUAUCACGGGGCGUUGAAAGUGUAAAAAUUUUGAGCUUUUAGUUAUUUUUGGAUGAAAAUUAAAAUAAUUAAAUCCAAAAAAAAAUAGGAAUUAAUUAUAAUGAAAAAUAGAGUUAUUUUUAAGUUAAAACACUCUCUUUAUAAAUUAAAUACAUAUCCAUUUCCUCAACAUAAACAAUUAUAUCAUUGAUUUAGGGUUUUAUUUUAGAUUUUAUUCUAGGAUUUAUAUUUAUUAAUUUUAGGACCUAGCUUUUAAUUAUCUUAAGCUCUAAUUUUUCUAGUUCAUUUAGGAUAGUUUAUUAUUUUCAAUUCUUUAUUUCUUUUAUAAUUAUCAAUGAUGUGUGUUUAAGUGUGCUUCUAAGGUUAGAUGGUGGAGAUUGGAAUUCAAGUUCAUGACUUACUAUGCAUUGCAAAACUCCAAAGGAGUGUUUUAUCUUUUUCCUCCUUUCUUGUUAUUUUUAUAUAUGCAAUGACAUUAAGGACAAUGCCAAAUUUAUGUAUGGGGGAAGAAAAUAGAAUAUUUCUUCAAUUAUACUUUAUAUGCCAUGAGAAUUAGCAACUUUGGUUAAUCUUUUGCAAAAUUAUAAAUUUUUUUACUCAACUUUUUAUUAUUUUUCUUUAUAAGAGUCAAUAAAAGAAUGCUAUUAUGUCAAGAUUUUUGAACUCUUGAAUUAAUAUUUAACAUAUAUAUGUGAACUCAUAAGUUUAUUUGCACUUAAAUGAUCAAGUGUUCUUUUACAUAUGGACAUGAUUAGUAGUUUGGCAAAUUUGAGAUGGGUAUAAUGAGAAGUGUAUGAUUUAGAUUAUUAUUUCCUUGUUAUUAAAUGAGCAUGCCUAAGUUUGUGAGAUAUGAUAUGGGCAAGUAAAAGCUCCAACUCCGCUUAUUUUCGUCGCUUAGUAACCGAAAAUCUUCAUGACCAAAUGUUGAUUUUUGCGUAAAAAGACAAUUAAAAUUAUGAGUAUAUAAAGCAUCUUGAUGUUGUUUUAUUGAGUAACCAGGUGCAUUCAUCACCCAUGCUGUAUUUGCAUAAAAAUACAUAACAGCUCAAGAAAGAAGGAAAUACCCCAAGUAUCAAAAAUUAAAAUCCAAGAGGUGUAAAGAAAAGAAAAAAAAAAAGAGCUUGAAAAAAAAGUGAUAUAAAAAAUGUACAAAUGCUAUCGAUCUCUUAUUAUGAAUGAAGGUUUUUCCUUUUUGAUAGAGUUAUGAUAAUUUGAAUUAUUCAUCAUAGUUGUAUCCUUUAAAAAUGAGUUAGGCUAUUUAUAGUAAAACAUGUGUGAAAGAUUGAAUGUUUGAGUCUUUUGAUUAACAAUGAUUGAGUUUACAUUUUUAAACAAAAUUAUUAUGCUUUAAGUGUUCUUGGGUUGAUAUGAUCUUUGCAUUAGUGAGAUUUUUUUAAAUAAUAUCUUGAAGUUGAGUAUGAAUGUUCUUCAUUAUUUUUGCAAAGGUUAAUUCCUAAGUUGUUAUUUACUUGAGACAAGUAAAGGUUUAAGUGUGGGGGUAUUUGAUAGGUCCAAAUUAUAUAUAUAUAUAUAUAUAUAUAUAUUUAUGAUGUUUUAGUGCUUUAAUAGUAUAUUUUAUAUACAAUAUGUUGAAAAUAUGUGUUUUUACCUCACUUAAGCUUAAUUGUCUAUUUUCAGGUAAUAUUAGCCAAUAGAGAAUACUCAAAAAGGAGUUUAAUUGAAUAUGUUCGCGUAAAGGCCCAAGAUUAAGAUACAUGGACCUGCUAUUUGUUGUGCUAGCCGAAUUAUACCAGGCCCAAGGGGGCAAUUUUAGUCAUUUUAUAUUAUUAUUAGAAUUUAUAUUAAGAGUUAUUUAUAGGAUAAUAUUUGGUGGAUAUAAGGAUAUUUAUAAUCUUAUCAAUCAAAUAGACUUAUAUUGGUAUAUUUAUCUUUAGAAAAACUUACUUAGAGGAUGACUCUUUUUUAUAUAUAUCUCUGCAAACCUAAUUCUAGAGAAGGAUAAGAGUUUUCUCCUAUAUGCUUUAUGCAUCUAUCCACCACUAUUUUCUCUAUAAUUCUUCCAUAAACACUUUAGUUUAGUUUUUAUUACUCUUUUUAGGAUUUAAAGAGCUUAUCAAGAAGUGGAAAGUGAGGAUCAAUCAUCUUCCUACUUGAAGAAAUUAUGGAUCUAGAGGGAGCUUUUACUUUAUUGUUUUAUGUUUUUCUAUUUAAUACCAUGAUCAUUGGGUUAAAUAUAUUAUGCUAGUUUUUAUGAGUGCUUAGUUUAGCUUUUCUACUUAUAUAUGAAGCUUGUUAUUUAUUUAUUUAAUUAGUGAUUUCUUUAGUUUCAUAUCUUUAUUAAUUUCAGUUAUUAUUGUUAGUUAACCAUCAAAUUAAUUUAGUGAUAAUAAUUUUUAUAAAAAUAUUUAUGUUGAAUGUAUUAGAGACACCAUCUUUGCUUCAAUCUAUGUUGGUAGAAGAAACUUUAGUUGUAUUAUUAGUUUGAGUGGCUAAAGGAAAAGACACAUCAUCAUCUCAUUCAUUAGAUUUUAGCUUAAAGUAAAACAUGGAGAUUACUAAGUAAGUGGCUAGGCUAAAUACUAUUUUCAUCAUAUAGUUUUAAAUCAUAAGCAUUUUGCAUUGCAUAUUUAAUUAUUAUUUGGUUACUUUUAUUUAUGAAUAUUAUUCUCUAAAAAUACUAGUUUAAAGUGUUUAGAUUUACUUUUAUUGUUUUAUGUUGAUAAUUAGUCUUUAUAAUAAGCUGUCUCAUAGUUCUUUGAGAUAUCGACCUCGGGAUGAAUUUACCGCUUUACUAUAAGAACGGUUCGUACACUUGCGAGUACUAAUUUAGACACAUCACACAUGAACUUAAACAUUUUUGAAUAAACUAUUUUUGGUUCUUUACAAUUAGUGUGAAGAGUGGCAGAAAUAAAAUUAUCUCAACUAAUUGAUUGUCAAUUAGAAUUCUUUGAUUUCUUAGCUAUGAUAAUGUAGUUUUGCUAAACUCGAGAAUGCCAAAUAUUGAAUUUACGAAGAAGAUGAGCAUUUAAGAAACAUAUAGCAAAUACAUAAAAAGAAAUUAAAACCUAAAAACAGAACACUUCAUAGAAAAAUAUUUUUUUUCUUCUUCAUUUUGGUUUGCUUUUUCAUGCACAUACACAAACUUAACAUUUUAUGCUCUUUAUAUAGAGCCAAACCAAUAACACACGUCAUACUGUAGCUAUCUAACAAGUAUGGUUCACUGUUAUUUUUGACUCUUUUUAACUUGUUUUCUUUUUUAAAAAAACAAGGAGUUCCACUCCUUGUCGAUAAAUUAUAAAAAAAUAUCUUAAUAAAUCUCAACCAAGUUUUAUAUUCCAACAUCAAAUAUGAGGAAAACUAAUAUGUUAAGUGUAAUGAGAAUUGCACUCACUAAUUAUAAUUGGAGUUAGCAACAUCUAGUAUUUUAGUCUAGUAAUAAAUUAAGACUACUUUAUAAGUAGACGCUAGAAUUGAGAUUUCACGAGCUCAAAAAAGAAAAUGAAUUGGAAAUAGCCAAAAAACCUUAUUAAUAAGAACAUAAGAUUGAGUUGGAGGAUUUUAUUUCUUUAAAUCCUAAGGAUUGGAUGGCGAGAAAUCUGGAUAGACAGUUUAAUCCUAAGGAUUGUCAGAUCAAAUGAAAUCUUCUAUUUGGAAUGGUAACUUCGCAUCUUUGGUAUUAGCACAAUAUGUUUGUCUUUUAGGAUCAUACAAAAAAUAUUCAAGACCCUCUCCAAAUGAUUAGGAGAAGCUAUGGAGAGAUUGUUGAUUCAAAUGUGAGCAAGUAGCCCCGCUAGUACUAAAACUAAGCCUUCUGUUUUCAAUUGGUACCAAAGGUUUAAUUUUUUUUCUUUUUACUACUAUAAUAUUAAUUUUUGUUACAAAGCAAGGUAUCCAUUAGGGAUCUGACUAAUUUUUGCUUAGCUCGAAGAUGGAGCUCCACGUUACAAGCUAUGUAGUUAGACAUGUCACUCAUUAGUCAAUCUUUCAAUCCACAUAAGCAUUGGAUCCCUAAAAUAGAUUCCAACAAUUAAAUUCCCUAAAAUUGAUUUUAUUACACAUUCUUUUACCUCACAAACGUUACCCUAGAUUGAAAAAGUUCAACUAUUGACAAAGCUCAUAGAAGACGAAAAACUUGGUAAUGCUUGCAAUGUCCUUAACAUUGAAGAGUUUACAUUUGGAGGAGAGGUAUCACGUUGUGGAUAUGGAAUCCCAUCAAAGCUUUACGUGUCAAGGACUAAGGAAUCCUGGUCGAAAAUUCUGAGAUGCGCUCAUCAGAUAAUUAAUGAUUUAGUUUUUGCUUCCUUUCUCUAUGGUUAGUGAUGAGUAAUCAAUAUGGAAGAAACUUGAGUAUUAGUGAUGAGUGAUCUUUGUGUUUGUUUAUGCAAGGAGGACACUAUGAGUGUGUAAAUCCCUCAAUCCGUUACUAUAAUUCUUCAUAUGAUGCUUCCAAAAUAUUUGUUUCUCAUCAACUACCAGCCCCAGUUCCCAUGCCAUUCCACUAAUUUUUUUAAUUCAGAAAUCUUCUCAAAGGAACAAAAGUCAAUCCAACCCGCAUCACUAAGUCUAACUUUUCUACUAUUGUCUAUUGUAAAAGUAUGCCACUAUAUGUAUCGAUCAUCAACUACACAAAAAGCAAAUAAAAAAAAAAAUUCACAUCACAUAAAAUAAUCACAAAAGCCUAAUCAAUUCUAACAAUCACAGAAACCUAAUCAAUUUUAUAAAGUGCAGUAAAAAUCCUUUUUCAAGUCUAAUAAUUAAAACCCUAAUUCAUAUACAACAAAACCUAAUCAAUCAAAACCACAUUGCAAAAAUUGAGUCACACAAGUAUCAAACAAACAUAAGAACUUCUAUUUCAUAUCCAAAUGUCAAGUUAAAUCGAAAAAAAUUAGCUUGCUUCAAAACUUACUGUACUGGGGGUGUUUUUCACCUUUGUUACUCAAACACCAAUUGUGUGUCAUUCUCCUUGCUUCCUUCACCAAUGAAAAGCUUACUAAUUUCCUUUAACCAUGACAAGAAUGUGGAGGUUAAAGAUGUGGAGGUUUAAGAAGAUACUUUAUUUUUGUAAAAGAGAGCUUUUGUAAAACGAUAGUAGCUGAGGGUGAAAAACUUUGAUAUCUAACUUAGCUAGGUUAAAUAAGCUAAAAGCAAUAAUUAAUGAUAUGAGACCAGGAGCUUAUGGAUAAAGUGAAGUAUGACUGAAUAAUUUACAGCUUAUGACGUAGAGCUCCGCCGUCCAGCUAAGCAAAAGUUGGCCGGAUCCUCGAUAGGUACCUUGCUCUAUAAUGAAAAUUAAUAGUAUGGUACAAAAAGAAAAAAAAAUUAAAAUUUUGAUACUAACUGAAAACAUAGGACAUAAUUUUGGUAUCAACGUAACAUAAUUUUGGUACCAGCGGGCUAUUCACCCAUUCAAAUGCUAAAUGUAGCUGGCUGCUGCAUGGUGAGCCAGCUUCCAUUGAGAAUUAUAUUUUGAAGCCUCCAACUGCUAGGAAGGUGAAACUUAAACACAGAUGGUGCAUGCGUGGAGUUGGUGAGGAGAGCUUCAGCUGGGGGCUUGCUGCAAGACAGUAGUGGUGGUNNNAUAGAUGCAGAUGUGGGGUGUGCUAUUAGGCUGGAAUCAUGGAUACAGUCAGUGUGGUGAGAUAGAGUCGUCUCUGCUGUGACUACAUAUGCCAAAGACGAGAGGCUCAUGGUCUGCUAGAGUUCAUGAUCUCUUGUCGAGAGAUUGGGAAGUGAGCUGCCCGCAGAUUAGACGGGAAGCAAACGAGUUGCCAACUGGUUAGCUAAAGCUGCUUUGGAUGCCGAUCAAGGGUUCCAGAUUCUGCAGUAUCCCCUGUGGGUUUCAUAAAAUUGUUAGCUGCUGACUUAUGCAGUGGGGUUUCUUCCCACAUCUCUGUUUACCUUUGUUUGAUAUAAAGCUGAUUAUUUGAUACAGUUUGUACCGGUUGAUUGAUUGAUUAGCUGAUCGGUGAUCCCUCCUUUUGUCUUUCUAGCUUGUGUUUUAUGUUAUGUUAGGUUUCUUGUUUUCAUAGGCUUACUAUUAACUUGGUCAAUCCAAAAUAAUUCUUGGACCUCACAUAAUUUCUGAUCCUCAGAAGAAAUGUGCUAUCGUAAGAGUUAAAAUUAUGUAUAAACAUUUGACCCACCAGUAUUUUGACCAUGGGUACUCCUAUUUCAUAUGAUAAAGUAUUAAAUAGUAACAUCCCCAUUUAAAUCUUGCAUCUGCCAAUGAUUUACAUUAGAGUAAAUGAAGGAAAAGAAAAAGGGUACUCUUUCUCAGUAGAACUUUCAAUUCAACAAUCAAGUUCCUAAAAAAUGAGUCAAUAAAAAUUGUCAUGUAUCAAUCAUUACCUGAUAAGAAAAGGAAAACUUUUAUAUUUAUAUAUAAAGGCAUACAAAACAUCUUUGUAUGAUACAAAAUGCACUACAACUAGUGAGCAUUCUUCUAAUUUAACAUCUUUCUAUCUGCCUAACAUUUCUGUAUCUCUAUCAAAAAGAAAAAUUAUCAGUAUAUGAAAAAACGUGAAUAAUUGUAGUUUCUCAAGGCAAGAACCAUUUAGAAAACUCAUUUACCAAUAGAACACUUCCUACUGCUUUUCUUCCCUAAGCAGGUGAACUUGCCUGCUCAUCUGUGGUGGGGCUGGGGCUCGCUUGACGCUUGUUAUCACUGCUCUUCCUCUUAAGCAUCUCCUUAAUCUCGGCUUCUUUCUUAUCUACAAAAUCAAGCAAAUCUUUGAAGCUAGUUGAGCGCAGGGAACGUCUAGGCCUUGCUGGCUCAAUCUCCUCCACCUCCCUCUCUUCAACUUCUUCUGGAGAAAAUCUGCGGAACUGACCAAACACCCUACAGAAGAACAAAGUAAGGGCAAUGCAGCAUGCAAGGCCACAGAUGAGGAACAGACCCCAGAAGCUGCUCAGGGAGAGCCGGUCUGCAUCAACUUGGCCGAUUUGCAUAGAGCACUCUGUGCGUGUCAGCCAUUUGUUAUGAAUUUUCUGGAGAUCGCCAUUUUCCGAGAGUUGGAGAAUGGCAGUUGACAAGUCAAUUGCAAGGGGCGAAUCCCUCUGAAAUGCCUGUAACCAGAAAGGCUGAAUGUGAGAACAUUAUUGGAAACAAUCUGUAAACCUAGCUAAUUUUAACACAAAUUUUGAUAUUGCAAGAAAUUAAUGGUCUGCUAAGUAAUCAAUGAUUAAACAGAAAUUUAACUUUGUCUGUCAUUUGAUUAAAACUGCAAGCAAGAUCCGAUCAUCAAAUCUUUGACAUGAACAAGCAACAGAUCUAAAAAUCUUAGCAUACAAGCAAAAAGAAAAAAAGUAAAAAAAUCAAAUUCUACAAAAGGUGGAACUGCUUUACUAUUUUAUUCAUCAUUAAACGCAUCGCAACAAUAUUAUGCACAGGACAUAGUUUUCUCAGGUAACUUGGGUGUAGAAAUGAAAGAUGAUUUAGAAUAAUAAGCGGUUGUCAUUUUUGAGCUAUAACAACAGAUAAAGAUCCAUCUCCACAGGGAUGAUAAUGAUUACAAGUGUUCUAACACUGUGCUAGUGUGCUAAGUACAGAAUGUGAAUAUCAAAUGCCUACUGACAUUGCAACUAUUGUAGCAUAGUUUCUAGUCAAAUAAAUUGAAAAAACAAGGAUAAGGCAUGCAUGAGAAAUGCAACAACAUUUCUUCGUUCUCCCAUUUUUGGAGGCAGGGAAACAUGGAACACAACAGCUCAAAGAGUUACUUAAGAGUUAAAGAAAAACCAUAACUUAGAAUUCUAUACCACUAUUCUCAGUUUCACAUAGUCUGCCCCAUUAUCUUUAAUUUUCGAGAUAGUUGCUUAUUUCUAUUGUAUAACCAUUGAGACCAUCAUAAUCUGAUAAUUUUCUCUUGUAAAGAUAGUAUCGAGUAUGCUCCAUCCUAUAUGUUGCAUAAUUUCAAUGCCUAUGUGGCUAUCAUAGCCAGUCAAAUUUACCAUAUUUAAAUGGAAAAUACUCACUAGAAUGACAACUUUAAAGUUGAUACUCACAAAUCCCCAUCCGCUUUUCGUGAACUCCUGCCCAACUGUUCUGAAUGCACAGUUCGUGUUGGACAAGAAGAGCUCAACAUAAGGAAGCUCAUCAACAAUGGCAGCCACCCCACCACCUUUUGGUCCGCGUUGAAGAGCAGUAAGAUAAUGUUCUUGGUUUCUCAAUAUUACAAGUCUAGAUUGGGCAAUGUUGAGCUCAUCAACCAGGUAGUUCAAUGCAAAUGAUCCCUCUUGGACUCCAAUAGGUUCAGUACUUGAGAUCAAGCUGUCAAUCCCUUCAAUCCGUGAUGUUAACUGCUGCACUGUCAGGAUAGAUGUCAGACUGGCUGUAUAGCUUGAAUUGAUGAUCAACACUACAAAUAGCCAUAUGAGAAGCACAAAACGUCCCAAGGCGCUCACAGUGUUCUCUCCUACAUUAUGUCCAAAUAGCAGAAGGUGUUGAGAGCUUCCACAAGAAAUAUUAUAUGAUGAAGUAAAGAAAGCAUAGCAGAUAAAGCAUAAUUCACAUACUGUGGGAGAAGAACAUUGUUGAGAAACUAAACCUGCAAGAUUAGAACUAUUGUCAGUUAGAAGCAAAGAAAUAACUGAAAGAUGAGUAGAAAAGGCCAGUGUAUUGCCUAGAACAAGGGUAAUUAACACAUGGUUCACAGCAGCUCAGUAGGAUCCUAAACUAGAGAGCCACCUAACUACGUUGCAACUAAAGUUACUGGAACUUAGACAUUACAUUCAUACUGGUCUCUACAGGCUUUUUCUAAACUAUUAUCUGAUGACAUGCUGAAAUAAGAUGAUCAAUAAAAUAAGCAUAGCAGAUGACAAUGAGUUUUUUUUCCCGCUAUACAACUGAAAGAACAAUUCACCAAGUAAUAUUGAAUACACAAAAUAACCAAAAGGUGUCCAUGAUUUUCUUUAAAAUAAAGUUAAUUUGGCUUGUCACUCCCAAUGUAUUACCAGGAGAUUUUGAGGCAGCUAAGCAACAAUCAAGCAUAAUGCCAGGAGAACUGAAAUGAGAAAUGUGAUCUUUACUCAAAUAUGAGGAAUCUUGACUAGUUCAACAGCGUACUAACCAGAAAAUUGUUAUAAGUUGUUGCCUUGGUGGACCACGGAAUUCAUGAUUGAUCCGGUGCUCAAGAAUCCAGACAACAGCACCCACAAAAAGAAAGAAGGCAGCUGUGACACCCCACAUGGAUACAGUAAAUGGUUUAAGGAAAGCCCAAGGCCUGGACUUUUGUUCCUUGACAGGUGCAACUACAACCAGUCCUGAUUCCAUGUAAGGCUGUGUGAAAUCCACGAUUCUUGUUCUAUUUGUAAUGAUUGUAACAUCACCCACAACUGCAUCAUACUUCUGCAAAAGGAAGAGAAUAAAGGCUUAGUACUAGAAUGUGAACAUCAGAGCAGUAAUCUGAGCCUGUAAACAAACAAAAGUUGCCAACCACCCAGUAAACAUACAAAAUCAAAGCCAGAUACUCACAUCUUGAGCAACUGCAUUGAUAAGUUCAUUGUAGACAGGGUUAUCCUUGCCAUUUCCAUAUAACAUAUAUGCGCGUGGGACAGGAUAAGGCAGCAAGUUUAUUGCAGCCUCAAACACAUCAAUGCAAUAUCCUCUAACCCCUGGAGGGUUUUUGUCUUUAGCCACAAAUUCUUUAUAACUUACUCGAUUUGGUACUGCAAUGCGCAGUGGCUUCCCAUUGUUUGGGAAUACCCAUCCUCGAGGAAUUUUCGUACUUUCACCUGGCCAUAUUACGGUGUAAAGAUGUUGGUUACUGUUAGAAUUAUUGGGAGGCUUCUCAUAUAAGGUCUCUGGAGAAACAAUUGAAAGGCCAGAGUAAUUUGACCAAUAGCCAAUCCUGCGGGAUCCUGUCCCACCAAUAUUAAGAACAUCAUAUGCUGGGUGAACUAAAUUCUUAUCAUCAUCAAAUUGAAUUUGACCAGUGAGACCUGUGAAGUUCAUCCUAAGAAUUGUCUGGAGAUACUGUUGACCUCCAUUAAAAAUUCUGAGCGACUCCAAAUGCAAUUUGCUUCCAUUUGUAUGAUGCAACUUUGGGUCAUUAGAGAAAGAUACAUUUCCACCUUCAUUGAGAAAAGCAUCAAGAGCUCGAGCAGCUAACCAUACUGAAUCAUAAGCAUAGAGCGCGUAAGAAUUAAACCCAGCAGGUCCUGUGCUCUCUUUAUUCUUUAGGCUGUUCCACCUGGACAUGAACCUUUUCUUCUGAUCAGUAUCAGGUGUGUAAUGACGAAGAGCAACAACCCCUUGUAAGAGAUUCAUCAUGUCAAUGUCAACUGGUUCUACUGAAUCUAGAAGAGAAGGAAGCCAAUCUGUAGCAAUCCAAACAUAGCCCUUGCUCAUCAUCCCAAGACUCUGGGCAACCGAAAAAAUUUGCAGACCAGAAUCAGGAUUCACAUGCACAACAUAAACCCGAGAUUCCAUUAGAUUUACUCCAACUAACAAGUCAUUGAUUGCACUUUUGGGUGCUCCAGGGGUAAAGGCAGCUUUGUAAGAGAUCUUGCAACGUUUCUUUACCAGAGCAUCACCCAAUACAGAUAUGCCAUUUCUGCCGUAAUCAUCAUCUACAAAGAUAGCAAUUACCUCCCUCCAAUCAAAAUAUGAGACCAGAUCAGCAACUGCAAACAUUUGGUAAUAGUCACUUUGGGUAGAGCGGAGGAAAUACGGGUACUGUAGUGCAGAAAGAGAAGGAUCUGUUGCUCCAAAUGACAAAAGUGGCACAUGAAGUUCAUUUACAACAUGUGAGAUGACAUGAGCUAUUCCAGAAGACUGGGGGCCAAUUGCAACAACCACAUCAUCUUCCAUCAGCUUCAAAGCUACAUAACAAAGAACUUUCCAUCAAAAUCUUUAUCUUUACAGUCUAUCAGAGGGUAAGAGGCAGCAAUGUAGAUUGUGCACAUCAACCCACAGUAUUACUUUUGUAUUUUGGGGUCCAUUAUAGAGAUCCUCAAUUUGACACAGAUUUCUAGAUAAUAUGCUAUAAACGCUUGAAUAGUCCCAACUCCGAAAUUGAAAGUAGAUGAGUCUACCAUCAGGAAUGGAUUCAGUAUACUUCAUUUUGAGAUUAACAGUAUUUUUACUAGAAACAUCAGAACAAGUAAGAGACUUUUGGCAGGCAUAGAAAUCAUACACUAAAUUGAAACUGCAAUAAUUAUUCAAAUCAAACUAACUGCCUGCAUAUAUUACUCUAUUCCGAAAUUCCUAAUAAGAAGUUAUACGAUAAAAUGCUAAACAAUGAUAUUAGCAAUAAUAAUGCAAUUCGAUGAUGGAGCUACAGUAGCCAAUGGACAGUCUGCUGUCGACAUCAUAGUUUGUGCAAUAUGCUACGGUUAGGAACACAAUCCUGGAAUGCUAAAAAUCAAUGAAGAAAUUGGAACUAGAUACUGUAACCUAAAUAGCAAUAGCAGGAUUCUAAACAUAAAGAAAGUAGAAGUAGAAUCUCAAAUACAAAGAAUCUCUUCAAAAAUCAAACUAAAACUAAAUGAAAUAGAUAAAUUCAAAUAUGAUCAAAUUGAAGUAUCUGAGUUUCAUAAAAGUACCUUCUAUGGUUCCAAUAAAUCCACUGCAAUUGGUGUCUUGUACAAUGAGGUUCAAUUUUGUCCCGGGAAGAAUACUGGAAUCAGAAUUUACAUCACCCACUGCAGCUGCAAUUGCUGGCUUAGCUGCUCUUCCAAUUACAGAAUUAAUAGUAAAUAGAGCUCCUAUAUUGACAACACUUGGCCUAGAAGAAGAAACAGUAACACUAGCAUUUCCAACCUUACACAAAACUUCCAUGGGGAUAAAAGCACUACUGACAAUCAAUAGCAACUGUAUCCUAGCCAUGAUUUGUCUGUUGGUAGACCUUGUAUUCAAUGAUACAAUCAUGGCUAGGAAAAGCUUGCAGUUCUACUAUUGACUCCUUAAUUCACAUCCACAUUCCUUCAACAUGAGCACCUGCCUAUACCAACAACAGAAACUUGAAUAUAAACAUGAACAUGAAUACCAUAAACUUGUUGGUACCCGAAAAGAAAAUUCAUAAUUGUAAAAUAGAUUCUCUACAAUAAACUACAAUUCCUAAAACAAAAGACUGCUAAUGACACCUAAAACCCAGUGCUAUGCUACCCACUAAAACAAAUAAAGUAUUGAAAGAGCACUAAUUUUAAAAAUAGGGUAUAUGUAUACAAAACCCCAGAUACUCUCUUUAUCAUGAUUAGAUAAUAAUAAUAAUAUAGGAUACUAACUAAAUAAAAGAUUAGUUCUUUUAACCCACAUGCAAUUAUAAACAAAUGAAACAAGAAACUUAAAAAAAAUUAAAAAAUUGUACGGUCAAGUUCAUAUUUAGUGAAAGGAGUAGUAAUGAAAGCUUAACUUCAUUACCAAAUAUGGCAUAUGUGCACAGUUCAUGGAGUCUGUUAUAUACACAUAUGAACUCUUGAACUGAAGAGUACCCAACACUAAACACAAACACUUCACAUCCAUUAAAGAUAGAAAAGAAAGACAGAAGAGCCAUAAAAGCUCAAAAUAGUCUUCUGAGCUCAAGCAAAGAAUCAUUCUCUUUCUUUUCUUAUCUCCAUUCGAUUUUAUUCUUGUGUUUUUUAUUUAUUCAUUUUUAUCUUUUCAUUGCAAAUCCAACUAUUCUGGACGGUAGUCGUUCCGUUGCAUCUUUCUUACCAUGAAUUGAGUUGAACUUCGAAUGAUUAUAAUUAUUCUUCAUAACAAAUUUAAAAAGUAUAUUAUAUAUUAAAAUUUUAAUAAAAAAAUUAAUAAUAUUAGAAUCAAAUUAAAUAUUUGAAUUCUUUGUAAUACAAUUUCUAAUAUGUUUACUAGUAAUUAAUAUUAAUUAUUAGUUGAAAAUAAAAUUAUAUUUAAUUUAGUGUCCUUAAAGUUGAAAUUAUUUAAUUAAGAAUUAUUAGAUUAAUUAAUAUAUAAUUUUAAUUCUCUAUAUAUAAAUAUUUUAAUUCUAAUUUUAUAAUAUAGUUAGUACAUCAAUUAAUAAAUAUUAAUUUUAAAUAUUAUAUAAUUUUAAAAUAUCAAAAAUAUUUAAAAUAUAAAAAUAUUUUAAUUAUAUUUUUAAAUAAAAUAAAUAAUAAGAUUAAUUUAAAUAAUUUGUUAAAUUAUUUAAUUAAUUUAUCUGAAAUUAUUAUUUAUAAUUAAAAUAAUAACACUUAGUCCUACAAUAUAAACAAUGAGUUCAUAUUAAAAGAUAAUAAAACAAAAAAAUCAAACACUAGUAUUAUAUUUAUUUAUUAAAAUCAUAUUUUAUAUUAAAAUUAUUAAAUACGUAUCAAAAGAUUUUAGAAAUUAUAAUUUUAAUAUAUAAUAAUCUUACAAUUAAAAAAGAUUCCAAAUUAAAUCAUGAUUUAUCAGAUUUAUAUUCAAACCAUUGAAUGCCUUGUAAUAUAAGAAUGCGAAGUGGCUAAAAGGGUCGACGGUCGUCAGAAUUUUAACACUAAUAGGAUAGGACCCAUUAUUAUCAAUUUGUUAAUUUAAUAUACAAGUUUUGAUUAAUAAUAAUUAAUUACAUUUCAACUUUGGAGAAAUUAAUAUAAAAUAAUGUUCGUUUGUAAGAUGUCGACGUCAGAUGUGUAAGGAGUUAGUGUGGGUAAUGACCUUUUUGGCCGGUACCAGUGCCGGUCUGAUGAGAAAUUAAAAGUAAUAAUAUCAAGUGGGGUCCUGUCUUCAAGUGUGUGAAACAUGUGGACACUGCUUACGCUGCAUACACAUACACAUCCAUAAAAAGGAAAUCACCACGUGCAUGCAGCUCCUUCAUAUUAUAUUCAAAUGGAAUAAUGCAAAUAUGGCACUUUGUAUUUUCAUUUCUUUUGGAAUAAGUUUUUGUAGUUUUAUUUUCAUUAAAUUUUUAAGUCAUUUUUUAAGAAACGUAUAAAUAUGUUUACUUCAAUAUUCAAAAGAUAUUAUUUGGUUUCUGUAUUUUUUAAUUUUACCUAUCAGAUUUUUAUAUUUUAAUUUUUAACUAAUUUUUUUUUUAAAUUAACACAUUAAAAUUAUUUAAAAUUAAUUUAAAAAUGGUUCAAUAAUUUAGUAGUUUGACUUAAUUAUGUACUUUAUUUAAGAAUAAAGAAUAAAUAUUUCUUUUUGAGUUAUAUAUUAAUUAAAAAUUAUGUAGAUUUAUUUAUAAUAAAUAUUCAAACUCAUAUAUAAAAAUUAUAAAAACUUAUUUUAUAAUAAAUAUUUAUUAAUUUUUCUUAAUUUUUUAUUAUUUGUUAGAAUUUUUUUAUUCAUCUUUUUAUAAAUAGUUUAUACCUUUCUUCGUAUUAGUUCAUUUCAAAUUUUUAUUAAUUAAACAUCAUAUUUUAAUUAAUAUAAUUAAUUAAUUAUAAAAAUUGAGUACUAAGAAUCUAAAAUUUAUUUCUAUACACAUUAAUAGCGCGUGUAAUACGCUCCUAAUUACUGUUAGAAAAGGAUUUAAAUUUUAUAAAAGUAAAAGUAUAAAGACUCAAUAUCACCGAAUAAAAGUAUAAGAACCUAAUUCAGAAAAAAAAAAAAAAAAAAAAAAGAGGCCGAAUAUGGUUUUAUUUUUAUUUAUAUUGAAAACUUCACCCCAAAUAUUUGCUAAACCCAUUGAAUAUCACCUAAAAGAAAUUUUGAUAAUUCAAAUUGGACACACUAUUUUUUUUAAAUUUACUUUCUUGAACUCAAAAUAGCAAAGUAUGACACAUAUUUAUGCAUUUAUAUUAAAUAAAAUAUUUUUAUAAAAAUUUGAUCUUUCUCAUUUUAAAAUUAAAUUUAUAAAAUUUUAAAUUCAAAUAUUCGAAUUGAAUUAAACUUAGAGUUGGGCGAACAACUUGAACCAAAAAUAAAUCUAGCCUACAAUGUAAAUAGUCAACCUAUUGGAGAAUUUAAAUCUAUAGUCAAGCUUAACCAUAUUUAUAAAAUAAAUAAGUCUACAUAAAAUGAAAAGUGAAAUAAGGAUCAUUCUUCUAUUUCUUUCUAUAGUAAUACUCAUUGUUUAAAAUUUAAUUUGUAUUAAAAUUGAGAAUUUUAUCAUAUAAUCACUGUAGCUAUGGUUUAUCUAGCAACUAAGGUUCCUAGGUUUUUUAGGAUUUCUUCUGCUUGAGGCCUUCUCAUUUUCUUUCUCUUUAUUGCCUUUUUUUUUCUUACUCUUGUAAAUUCUAGGGCUUCUUUCAGUAAGGUCGCAUUUUAGUUUGCACUAGGGUUAACAUAGUCUAAGAAUUGGAAGACUUACUGAAUAAGUUUAAAUUAGUUGAGGAGGUGGAGAGUAGGUUAUUUAGAAAAUGGCUCUAGUAGUUUAAGUGGUGUGUUCUUUUAUGGUGGGUAGAGUUUUACUAUUAUUAUGAAAAAUGUAUUGAUACGGACUUGGCACCCAAUAAAGGGAUUAUUGAUUAAGGAGACUAAUAAGUGUGCUUUUUACUUGUCACUUUAACUUUAAAGUUAAUCAAAAGGUUAUUGUCAAUAUUAGACCUCAGCAAUUUUUACAAGCAUUUAAAGGUACUUAAGAAAAUUUAGGAGACAAUCAACCUUCUAGGUUAAUUCUCAAUGAGGCUGCUUUUUGAGUAAGGGUCUAUAAUUUUCCUUUGAACCACUGAACUGAUGAAUCUAUUUGUGAAGUCAAUUGGAAGGGUGAUAGAAUUAAAGACAACACAACAAUCUUUGAAUCCAUAUGCUAAGGUUACGAUGAUAGUUGAUUUGAAGAGGCCUUCGGUUCGAGGAACUUGUGUUAUCAAUGAGAGGAAGGAACGUGUUUAGGUGUACUUUCAUUAUUAAAGAUUAUCAGAUUCUUUCUAUGUUUAUGGUUGGUUGUAUCAUGGGUUGAAGGAUUCUGAAAAGAAUAAUGAGAAGAGAAUUAAGGAAGGAUGGCCUUCUGAUCCUAUUGUGUGUGCUUCUCCGGCAUGUAAUAGGAUUUUUUUUAAGGAGGCAUUACUAGUGCUUUAUUGGCAUUUAACCAUAGACAAUAAGGUGAUCCAGCAAUUAGAGCUCAACCCACAUUACAAUUCAAUAAUGAUAGUUUAGGGUUAAAAAAUUUUGAGAACGAAAGAUGAGCAAAGUGUGAGUAGGGAGGAGAAAUUAAAUAAUAUAGACCUACAAAUAAAGUUAAUGGAGGACCAAAAUGGCGUGUAAGUGUAUAAUGUAAGCAUUGCAAUAAAACUAAUAAUAUCAUGAUUGUUUGACAUGAGAGUGGUGUUUUAAUUCAAGGUUGGUCCAAAAGUUAGGAGAGUAUGGUGGUUGUAAUAGAAUAUCGUUACCAUAUAAGAAAUAAUGUCGUGCAGGGUCUAGUUUCACUCUACAUGAAUAUGAUAUGGCAUUUAAUAUUCCCCUUUAGUAUCAAGCAUUCUUGUCUCUUUUCAUUCAAGUUGGUUUGAAUGAAAUAUAAGGACUAGUAUUCAUAAUAAUGGUUAUGGGUGUAAGAAAAAGAAAGAUAUGAGAAAUGAACAUUAUCCUUGGAACCAAGAAGGGCGGAGUUGAAUUGGUGACUUCAAAUCUCGGAAAAUAAAUGAAGUGUAAGUUUUAGAGUCACACAAGAAAUUGAAUAAGGAUAGAGAGUAAGAGUUAAGAAGAUUGAGAUAAGGGAUUUAUAAUAGUUCGAGAACAAUUCUCCCUAUGUCUAGUCUUCAAGAUCACACUUGAGUAUUUCACUAUAAUCAACAAUUGAUUACAAUCCUUAGGUUUUACAAGCUCACCCAACUACUUGAUUUUUUAACAGUUAGGUUUUACAAGCUCACCCAACUACUUGAUUUUUUAACAGGCUAACACCGAACCUUUUCUCUUAGUGUAUCAUUCCUUUACUAAGUCCCUUUACCCUUUUAUUUUAAUAAAAACUCAACAACCAAUGCCUUAUAUUUUUAAUAUCUAGGCUUACACAUAAACCUUCACAAGAGCAUACAAGCUCUUGCAACCUUUAUAAGGUUGAUUACACACAAAAAAAAUAGUAAGGAAAAGAUGUGAAAUGAAUAGCAAUGAAUAUGACACUUUUCAAGAUUGUUCGCUAAACAUAAAUGUUUCUUAGAGGUAGGUUUUAUACCCUCUAACAACCAAAUAGAUGUUAUAAAUAGGUACAUAUCCAAAUCUUUACUUCUAGCUCUAGAUAGUGCAUUAAAUGCACUGUUAGAGCAUAGUCACAGUCGCUACACCUAAAUUGCAGUCGCGACUGGCUUUUCACGAUCGUAAAACUUAAAGUAGCAACAACUAUAGUCCACGUGGCACUCUGUGAUUUGCCAUGUCAAAUUUAAUCGCUGGCAGUUUUCUUUAAGGUUUAUGCAAAUCGCAUUUGUAAAACCCGAGGUGCAGGCGUGAUACCUACUACCUUCUCAAAAUUGAGCUUUGUAGAUGUGAUCCAGUUGCUCGCGGUCGAAAAAUCUACUGCCCUCUGAAAUCUCCUUUCCACAAGCGCUUUUCUUUGCUCGCAAUCCCGAUAUUCUCAUUUACUUCAACGGUCAAGUUAAUUAAGAAAGUCGUGUUUGCGACAUGCUUAUGGCAGUUGCGAUUUAUAAGGCAAUUUUGGUAACUUGUGUUAAUUAAGCCUCAAUAAUGAACCUUUACAAAUAACAUUUAAAGUCAAGGUUAAAUGCACUUGAUUUUAAUUGUCAAGGUUAGAAUCAAGAGUGCCUUAAGUCAUGAAAGAACUUAGGCUAACAAUCUCCCCCUUUUUUAUUUUGACAAUUAAGGUUGAGUUUGAGAGAUAAAAUAAUAAGAUAAAAGAAAUGAAAUAAGAAGAGUUUAUCUCUCCCCUAUAAAGAAAUGAAAUAAGAAGAGUUUCUCUCCUCCUAUAUCUUUUCAAAAGACUCCUCCUUUUUUUAUGAAGUUUUUGAACCUAACUCCCCUUUGAGUUACUUAUGCUUCUCUCUCCUUUGUCUUAAAGAUAUUGUAUUUAGCUCUCCCCCUUUUCAUUUUAUUAUGUGUCAUUUUUAAUGUUCUCUCCAGUUUAUCUCUCUAUUGAUAAUGUAACUUAACUUUAUUUUUAUUUCAAUUCUUUUUCUAAAUUAUUUAUCUUUUUCUAUCUCAAUUCUCUUAAUCCCCUUUAGCAAAAUCAAAAACAAAAUAAGUAGAGCAGAAGAUAAAGCAUAACUAGCAUAACAAAUGAUAGAGUUACAUAUGACAAAAGCCAUUAUUAUUAAUAAUGAGCAAAAACUCAAUCAUUUUUGUCUCAUGAUGGAAUGAAUGCACCAUUAUAAAAAAAUAAGAGCAAUAAAACAAGUAAAUACAUCAAUAUAUAUACCAUGUUUUAAGAAUCAAAAGAGUCUCCAUCUAUCAUGCCAAGUUCCCUCUUAAUGAAAUUUAGUAUUUCUUCAUUUAGGGGUUUGGUAAAGAUGUUAGCAAGUUGGUUAUUGGUGUCAAUAAAUUCUAAUACCACAUCACUAUUUUGCACAUGGUCUCUCAAGAAAUGAUGCUUAAUGUCUAUGUACUUACUUAGAAUGUUGAAUAGGAUUGUUAGAGAGAUUUAUAGCACUAGUGUUGUUAAAUUUAAUAGGAUUGUGAUCAACCUCUCUCCUCUAAUCUCUUAGUUUUUGCUUCAUCCAUAGGAUUUGAGUGCAACAACACCUCAUCACCAUAUAUUUGGCUUCCACGGUGGAGAGAGCAAUUGAAAUUUGUUUCUUGCUAAACCAAGAGACUAAACAUUUAACUAGAAGAUGACAAUGUCCGGAAGUGCUCUUCUUAUCUAAAAGACUUCCUGCAUAAUCAGCAUAUGAAAAGCCAAUUAUGUCAAAAGACGAAUUUCUAGGAUACUAAAGUCCUAAAUGCAAUGUGCCAUACAAGUAUUUCAAAAUUCUUAUAACUGCAUUUAAGUAAGACUCUUUAAGACUUGAUUGAAAUAUAGCACAAAUAAAAAUACUAUACAUGAUAUUGGGUCUAAAGGCAGUCAAAUAUAAAAGAAGUCUGAUCAUACCUCUAUAAAUAUUUUCAUUCACCUUCUCAUCUUUGUCCAAUUUUAUUGAGACAUUCAUAUGUGUUUUUGCUACUUUGCACCCAUCCAUCUCAAAUUUCUUUAAAAGCUCCUUUGUAAACUUAGAUUGAUGGAUGAAUAUUCCUUAAUUGCUUUGUUUAAUUUGAAGAUCAAUGAAGAAUCUGAGCUCUCCCAUCAUGCUUGUUUAAAUUUCUCAGUCAUACACUUAGCAAAAUCCUCACAAAGCAAUUCAUUAGUAGCACCAAAGAUAAUGUCAUCAACAUAAAUUUGCACAAUGAGAGUUUCAUGUUUGUGCUUCUUUAUAAACAAAGUAGUGUCAACUUUUUCUUUGAAAAAAUUAUUUUCUAUCAAAAAGAAACUAAGCCUUUCAUAUCAAGCUCUACGAGCUUAUUUAAACCAUAUAAGGCUUUAGUUAACUUACAAUAUGAUUUAGAGACUUAUGAUUUUCAAACUCUAGAGCCUAUUCAACAUACAUUUCCUCCUUGAUAAAACCAUUUAGAAUCACAUUCUUCACAUCUAUUUGAAUUAAUUUGAAAUUCAUGUGACAUGCAUGAGCUAAAAGAAUUCUAAUGGCUUCUAAUUUAGUAACCAAAGCAAGGUCUCAUCAUAGUCAAUCAUUCCUCUUGGUUAUAACCUUUUACGACCAAUCUAGCUUUGUUUAUAGUAAUUAAGCCUUGCUCAUCUCAUUUGUUUCUAAAUACCUAUUUGCAUCCAAUAAUUUGGUGGUCUUUAGGUCUAGGAACAAGUUCUCACACUUUGUUUCUCUCAAAUUGGUUGAGCUCAUCUUGCAUAACAAUCACCCAACUCCCAUAACUUCGAGUCUCAUCAAUAGUCCUUGGCUCAAAACUAGAAACAAAGGCUAGAAUAUUCAUUACCACAAGUUUAGAAUGAGUACUUACACCAUUUGAUAGAUCUCCAAUAAUUUGAAUAGGAGGAUGUUCCUUCUUAAAAUUCAAUUUCUUGGAAAGAUUUUAUGAACUCUCCAUAGUUUGACUUUUUGAGUUGCAUCAUGGUUAGGUUGGAUUUUCUGAGUAGCCUUAUGGAUUCUUCAAUUCCUUUUGAUGGGUCAUCAAGAUUGAUAUUUAGUUCCUCAAAUGUACCUACAAGAUCAUUCACACAAAUACUUUUUCCAAGAUCAAGCUUGCUUGAUUCAUCAAAUACAACGUUUAUAGACUCUUUAACUACUAAAGUACGUUUGUUAAAGGCUCAAUAAGCUUUGCUUGAUGUGGAAUAGCCAAGAAAGAUUUCUAUAUCGGUUUUGGAGUCAAAUUUACUAAGAUUUUUCUUGGUGUUUAAAAUAUAGCAUUUGCAUCUAAAUACUUUAAAAUAUGAAACCUUAGGCUUUCUUUCAUUCCAAAGCUCAUAAGAUGUUUUAUUUACUAAAGGUCUUCUGAAAACUCUAUUUGCAACAUAAUAACUAGUGUUAAUGGCUUCCACCCAAAAGUAAGAAGGAAGUUUAUUUACAUUGAGCAUUGUUCUAGCUAUUUUCACUAGUGUUCUAUUUUUUCUCUCACAUUUCAUUUUGUUAUGAUGUCCUAAGAGAUGAAAAAUUGUAAGAAAUGCCCUUGUUUUGCAAAGUGUUUCAAAGAAAUCAUUUUCAAAUAUUUUUUUGUGAUCACUCUACCAUUUUUCAUUUUGAAUACGUUUUGUAAAACUUUGGAAAACAUUGAAAGGUUCAUUCUUAUAAGCAAGAAAAUUAACUUAAGUAAAUCUAGAGUAGUCAUCAACGAUAAUAAAUGCAUAUGAAUUUCCACCCAAGCUAGUUACUCUAGUUGGUCCAAACAAAUCCAUAUAUUGUAGUUGGAUUGAUCUAGAGGUACUUAUAAUGUUCCUUUAUUUGAAUGAUGAUAGAUAUUGUUUCUCCAUUUAAUAUGGUUCACAAGGUUUACCUUAGAAAGUCAUUCAUUAGUUCCUCCUUGGCUAACUUUUGUACAAGAUCCAUACUUGUAUCUGCAAGUUUUUUAUGCCAUAGCCAAGAUUUAUUACUAAUAGAGACAAAACACUUGAAAGAUGGUUAAUAAUCUUGUGUAUGUCAAUUGAGUUAGUAUCGUCACUUCUUUCUCCCAUGAAUACUAUUUUAUCAACCACUAGAGUGUUGACAUAGCAUCUAUUGAAGUCAAAAGUGACUUUAUUACCUUUGUCACAUAAUUGACUUACACUUAAUAAACUGUGUCUUAAACCAUCAACUAGGAAAACAUUAUUUACAAUGGAUUGUCCAUUCUUACCAAUAGAACCAAUACCAAUUAUUUUACUAUUGACAUCAUUACCAAAUAUGACUUUGCCUCUAACUUUUGAUAUUAACAAAGAGGCUCUUGUUUUCUGUUAUGUGCCUUAAACAUCCACUCUCAACAUGCCAAAGAUUUGUGCUUGUGGGCUUAAGACACACCUACAAGAAAAAGUCAAUUCACUUGGUUUUAGGCACCUAAACAAGAUUGGAUUCUUAGGAGUUAACUUUGAAAGUGUCAUCAUGAAGAGGUGCAUCUUCCUUAUUUGCAUUUAACAUAGAUAUGUCCAACUUUCAUGCAAUAGUGGAAAGCAACCUUUGAAUUAGGAGGAGUGUGAGGUCAUUUACCAUUUUUGCUUGAGGCUUGGACCUCAAAGUAUUCACUUUGUUAUUGCACAUGCAUAAGCAAGAUUUUUAUUGACUUUUGAUUGCUUAUACAUGUAUGCAUGUUUUGUUCCUUUAGGCUUAGUCUUUAAAAAUUAUGAUGCCAUUCCUUUAUUCUUUUAAAUAGGAGGCUUGGUAUGUUCUUUGGCCUUUGAAGUUCCUUUAGGAGUUCUUUUAACUUUCAAAGAUUGAGUGGCCUUUACGAAUGUUAUUGUGUGAGAUGUUGGAGAUGUGGAUAAGAAAGCUCGAUUAAAUCCAAGUCCAUGUCUCAUAAAAGGUAGCUUUUAAGAUACAACUAAUGUAUCAAGAGACUUAUUCCCUUUGUGAAAUUUGAAAAUUGAAUUCUUAAGCUCCUCAACUUUGUUUUUCAAUAAAUUAUUCUCUCUAAAAAGCUUUUCUUUAAAAACUUCAUCCAAUGAUUUUCUUAAGUCCUUGUUGAAUGUUUUAAGACUUGUAAUUUCUUUUUUUGAAAUCUCAAGAUGUUUUUCUAAAUUGGAACCUUUAUAUUUAUAAAAAUUUAAUUUUGAUAACAUGUUUUUGUAAUAGCUCAUCCUGAUCAUCCAAUACAUCAUCAACAAAAGAACGAGCAGAUGAAUAAGAAGACGAUGAAUUAAAAGAAUGAAAAGUAGAGCUUAUCUCAUGUGUGUACUCCAUGUUGGCCAUGAAAUAAAAGUUGGCCUUUUCAUCUUAAUCAUUUUCCACGUUGGAGGUUGAGGAUGAAUCACUCCAAGUAGCCUUCUAGUCAUUUUUAUUUUCUUUGUCUCCUUACUUUCUCUUUAAGUAUUUAGGACAAUUUGGUUUCAAGUGUCCUUGCUUUCCACAUUCAUAGCAAGUAACAUCAUCCUUUUUGUCCUUGCUUGGUCUUAGCUUAGACAAAGAUUUCUUGUUUAUAAAAAGCUUGUUGCUCCUUUUUCUUUUGGCCUCUAGAAUCCUCUUGACAUGUUUGGUGAUUACGGCCACAUCAUUGCUUUCAUUUUGAGCUUUUUCUUGGUCUUUAUUAUUACUUGGAUAUCAUUUGCAUCUUGAGCUCUUGUGCUAAUCUUAAGUGUUAGAGCCUUCUUCUUCCCACCAUCUCUAUCAAACUCAUCCUUGACUAGAGACAUCUCAUAGGUUAUAAGUUUACCUAUGACAACAUAUGUUGGAGUCUUCUCAAGGUCUUCAUUUGCUUCUUUUAUGCUAGCCACUCUAGCACCAUACUUAUCCAAAGGAAGACUCUUAAGAAUUUUAUUAUUAAUAUCCACAAGCUCAUAAUGCCUUAUUGAUAAUGUUUAGUAGUCUAUUUGUCAUGUCAGUGAUAGAAUUACUUGGCUUCAUCUUGAACAUUUCAUAUUUUUGUGAUGUAUAUUUGGAUCUUUCUUGACUUAACUUGUUUUGUGCCUUCAUGAUAGUUCUCCAAGAUAGUCCAAAUCUAAUGAGUCGUAGUGUAAUGUUGGACUAUCCAACACUCUUUCUAGAUAGACAACUCACAAGCAUGGGCAUAACUUGUUUAAUUUUGUGGUUUUGUUUCUUGUGAGCAUCAAUCCAUUCUUCUCUAGAAAGAACCCUUUCUUUCACCAUUUCUCAUCUCAGUGGGAGCCUUCCAUUCAUUCACUAUAUAAUCUCACACCUCAAUUUCAUAUGAAUCUAAAUAGAUUUCCGUUCGAAUUUUUAAAAAGUAUAAUAAGAUCCAUCAAAGUAUGGCUUGAGAUGUUGAGCUCCUUCAUUGGUUGCCAUUGAUUUUUACACUCGCAAUGAAGCUUGAAAAUAAAUGAUUAAGCUCUUAUACGACUCGUUGUCCCUUAGAACCAAGAAGGAAGGAUUGAAUUGGUGACUCCAAAUCGCAAAAAAAUAGAUGAAGUGCAAGUUUUAGAGUCAUACAAGGAAUCAAACAAGUAAAGGAUAAAGAGUAAGGGUUAAGAAGAUUGAGACAAGACAUUUAUAGUGGUUUGGCAACAAUCCUCUCUACGUCAACUCCUUAAGAUCAUACUUGAGUAUUUUACUAUAAUCAACACUUGAUUAAACCUUUGAAUUUUACAAGCUCACCUAACAACUUGGUGUUUUAAUAGGCUAACACCGAACCUCUUCCCUUAGUGUGUCAAUCCCUCACUAAGUCCCUUUACCCUUGAGUUUUAAUGGGAACUCAAUAUCCAAUUUCUUGUAUUUUUAUUAAUACCUAGGCUCACACACAAAAUUUCACAACAACAUACAAGCUCUUUCUACCUUUACAAGGUUGACUAUAUAAAAAAUUAAUAAGGAAAAGAUGUGAAAUGAAUAGCAAUGAAUUUGACACUUUUGAAGUUGUUGAUCAUUCAUAACUAUCUCUUAGAGGGGGUGUUUAUACCCUCUAACAACCAAAUAGACAUUACAAAUAGGUACAUAGCCAAAUCUUUGCUUCUAGCUCAAGAUAGUGCAUUGAAUACACUGUCAAAGUCGCUACACCUUAAUCUUGGUCACAACUGACUUUUUGGGGUCGCAAAACUUAAAAUGGCAACUGCUAUAAUCCACGUGGCACUCCAUGAUUUGCUAUAUUAGAAGGAACCAUUUGUAUUUUUCUUUGAGGUUUAUGCAAAUCGCGUUUAUGAAACUUAAGGUGUAGGCGUGAUACCUACUGCCUUCUCAAAAUUGAGCUUUGUAGGCGCGACCCAAUUGCUCUUGAUCGCGAAACCAAUACCCUCUAAAAUCUUAUUUUUGCAGUUGUUAUCCUUUGCUUACAAUUGCGAUAUGCUCAUUUACUCUAAUAGUCAAGUAGAUUAUGCAAUUAUGUUUGAGACAUGCUUGUGGCGAUCAUAAUUUAUAAGGCAAUUUUGGUAACUUGAGUUGAUUAGACCCAACAAUGAACCUUUAUAAAGAACACUUAAAACCAAGGUUAAAUGCACUCAAUUUUAAUUGCCAAGGUCAAAAUCAAAGGUGCCUUGAGUCAUUAAAGGACUUAGGCUAACAAGGAAAAAUAGUAAAAAGAUAAAAAUAAGAAGAAUGAGGAAAGUAGAUCGAGGAUAUAUAAAGAUUGGUGGUGAUUAUGCUUUAACAAGAAUAGAUAGGAAAGGGUAUUAGAUUAUAAUAUUAAUGUUUCUUCUUUUCUUGAGGAUUUGAUCGAUCAGAAUCGUGCUAAGGAUGCAAUUGAUGGAGUAACAAUGAGUUACUUAAGCUGGAAUGUCUAAGGACUAAGGUAAUCCCUAAAAGUUUUGCUCCUUGAUUAAAAUAGUUAGAGCACAUUGCUCGAGUAUUAUAUUCUUAGUGGAAAUAAGGCUCACACAAUUAAGUUUUGCUUCUAUUUAUAAUUCUUAUAUGGUUGAUAGUAAUGGUCGUUUAGGUGUGCUUAAGUUGAUGUGUAAAGAUAUAUUGAGCUUGAGACUAAAUCGCAUUUGGAGCACUUUAUUAAUUUUAGUUAGUGAUCCAAUUAAUGGGUUGAAUUAGUGGAAAGGAACUAGGUUUAUGGUUAGCCAAAAUUAAAGAUAAGUGAAAAUCGUCAAAAUUACUUGAUGAGAUGCUCUAAAGUAUUAUAUGCCUUAGGUUUGUUGUAGUGACUUCAAUAAAAUAAUACAACCUAAUGAAAAGGAAGGUAGGAGGCCAAACCAAUAAUGACAUAUGAUGAUAUUUAUUGAGGUGAUUGAGAAGCAUAACUUGGUUAAUUUGGGCUUCAUGGGUUUUUAAUUCACAUGGGAUAAUGGUCGAGCAUCAUGUCAUGAAACAAGGUAGUGGCUGCUCUCUGAUAAGUUCCCCUCGCGUUCUUUAUUCCAAAAGGCAUAACCUUGUAGCAAUAUGUCCCUCACUCGGUGAUGAACAAUGUCUUCAGCUUGUCCACUAUUGCCAUCAUAAUUUGAUUAUAUCCAGAGAACCCGUUCAUAAAGGAGUACAUUACGUUUGAAGCAGCGCUAUCGACUAUCACAUUUAUGUGAGGUAGAGGAAAGGCGUCCUUCGAGCAUGCUUUGUUCAAGUCCCAAUAGUCCAUACACAUUCGAACCUUACCAUCCUUCUUCAGGACUAGAACAAUGUUCGCCAACCAUUCAGGGUAGUUAACCAUAUCGAGAAAAUUGGCUUUAACCUGCUUAGCAACCUCCUUUGAUAUCUUCUCUCCCCAUUCUAACCUUAGUAUUCUCAUCUUCUGUUUAACCAGCUUGAUGUGCGAAUGAGUUAGGAUAUAGUGCUUUGUUGUUUUCCUGUCUAGACCUGGCAUGUCGUCGUAUGACUAAGCAAAUACUUCCUUUCUUUUUUCUAUUAUUUUUUUAAUUUUCUCUUUUCCUCAAGCGUUAUAUUGUGAGUUAUCAAACAUUUCGUAGAAUUGCAUCUGUGCCUAAAUUAAAUGAAUCAAUUUGUAUAGAAUUAAUGUUAAACAUGCACAUGUCAUGAUUAUCAAAAUGCACACUACCAUUAGGAAAAUAAUCAUAUAAGUAAGCAAAGUCAUUCAUAUCAUUAUUCUUAAAAAGAAAAAGAAACAUCAUCCUCAUAAAUGUCAGACGUUAUUACAUCAUUGUCAUAAAAUACAUCAAUGAUAUUAUUUUCAAUUAGAGCAGGUAGAAUCUCUUAACUUAUCUUUUCGACUGAGUGGCAGGCUUUUCCAGCUUCAACUCUUCCAUCUUGGUGGUGACCUUCUCACGGACUUCCUUGAUACUCAAUUUGAUCAUCCUCUCGAUGAUCAAGUUCUUGAAAAUCUCGAACCUAGGUACCUUAGUCUCAACUACAAGAACAGGUUCAGGUUCGCCAGAUAGGGCUUGAAAUCAUGGAAAAAAAAUGCCUUUUAGAGUCUUGCCCCCCGGUUUGCCCUCAUUUUCUUCCUUAGAAUACCCCAAACAUUACCGAGUGUUCUGACCUUUGAAGUUCAAUAGCUCCGCAACACCCUACUGAUUCUUCUCCAACCCAUUCCAUGCAUGAAGUUCCUUUUUUUGAACAUGCUAGCUACUUUAGGAUCCAUGCAGUCCUUAUAAAGAAUAACAACUUGGAAUCUAGUAGGGGCAUCCACUUCUUUGAUAGCUUCCUAGAUUGCUAAGAUCACCUUACCACCUUCGACAUAGAUGGUGACUAUCUCGUCUUCGUGAAAGAAUUUUACCUUUUGAAGUAUAGUAGAAGGGACUGCUCUUAUGGCAUGGAACCAUGGCCUUCCCAAUGAUAGUGCAAAAGUCACUGGGAUGUCCAGGACAGUGAACUCCACCAAGGAUUCAAUUGGACCCGUCUUCACCAGUGCUGAAAAUGUCCCUUCUACAUCCCUUUUAGUCUCGUCAUAGGCCCUUAUGACCAUGUCUGAUGGUUUUUGGUCCUUUGCAGUUAUCCUAGUUUAGGGAGUAUGUAAGAUGGACAUACAUUGAUGGUUGACCCGUCAUCAACCAUCACAUAUGUGGUUCUUUUUCCUUUCACCUCUACUACUUUGUAGAGGGCCUUAUUGUGCUCCCUUUCCUUAAGCGGUAGGUCCUCAUCUGAGAAGGUGAUCAUCCUGGUAGUCUUGUCAAUUACUGAUGUGAGCUAAACAUGACUAACAAUCUACAAGCAAGUGCACCUAUCAUAUGUAAUCUAGCUAUGGCAAGUAUCAAUGUUGUAUUCCAUAGGAACUGAGAAGCUACUGCUACUAUGUUAUUCCUAUUAUCUAACCGUUCAAAAGAAGGUGAAGAUCAUUAACUAAAAUGAUUAAGAAUGCAAAUGAAAACUAAAUUUUAAUAAAGAGAAUGAAAGCUUGAAAAAGACAAUGAAAUGAGUUAACCCAAUUGGGGAUCUCUUUAGCUAGCCGGCUUAAAGCAAUAAUUUAUGAAUUGAUUACUUAAGAAUUGCGGUCUGUGGAUAAUUUCUUAAAUGAAUUAACCUCUCUCUCGAGUUAACGAAUUUCUAAUCCUAAAGAUAUAAAGUUGGAAUCUCUUCUUAAUAAUUGAUAUUAGAAUAGCAUUAAUCUUUAAAUUACCACUAAUAAGAAUGUCUAGUUCUUAUUCUAGUAAGUUAUUACACUUAUCUCUAAGAUGCACAUCACUUAAUCAUACAAGCAGUUCUCCAAACUCAAUUGAAUUUUUCAAUUACAAAGGAGCUCUCAAAUUGAUUCAACAAUGAAGAAGAAACAAUAGAUUUUAUUAUACUUGAAUGAAAGCUACAAUCUUAAGUCAACAAUUCAAUCAAUUAAGCAUAAAACAAGCCUAGCAUAGCUAAAGAUCACCCCCAAUAGGUUUAAUAAGAUUAGUUACACAUGUUCAUGAUUAAAAUAAUACAAGAAUCAAAUACAAAAUAAACAAGAAUCAAAAAGAACAUAUACCCCCUUUUCAUAAAUGGUGGAAAUACUAUCCCCUCUUGAAUAACUCUGAAUCCAAUCUCUAUGGCUCAAGAUCUCCUUCUUAUUUCCUUUGAAUCUUCAAUCCAAUCCUCAAGAAUAGCUAUCUAGAUGAAGUUGAAGUGGAAUUCAUCUCCUUUUCUUUUAAAUCAAGCUUCGGGAUCCAACACAACUUGGAUUUGGUCCGUGCUGAUCAGCACUGCUUGGAUCCAUCCCGUGUUGGGCUAAAAUUGUACAUCUAGCCCUCUUUCAGCACGACUUGGAUUUGGGCCGUGAUGCUUAGCACGGGCAAUGCUCCUAGGCCAUGUUACUCUCGGGAACCAUAUUUCUCGCCAUGGGUAAGGAAUUUCAGCACGCCCUCUGACCCUAAUCGUGCUUCUCAGCACGGGUGUAUUGGCAAGUAUGUUGAACAAUCUAACGCGCUCGAUUCGUCCGUUUCUUCCCGAUUUUAGUCUGAUUUCUCUCUAAAUUUGAUAAUGUACCUAGAAAAACAUUGAGAUACAAAGGAAACUAAAAUAGGGUGAUUAAUACAAAAACACAUAAUUUACCGUAAAACAACUUAAAAUCAAGCAUGCGAAUAUGUGUAAUAUCAAGGAUAUCAAUUACCGUUUUGAUCAUCUCCUCAAUAGUAGUUAUUGUGUUGACACUUAUACCAAAUAAGGCUUGGAUCAGAGCCUUUCUGCGGUCUGAUGAAUGUAUCAGUAGUUCCUAGAAAUGAGCUGUCUUUUUCUUCUUCCUACACCAUUCUAGCAACACGACAUCUCCAUCUUCAGGUGCUUGCUUCUCUUGUUUUAGCUCUUGUACCUCGGCUUCCUUACCCUUACCCGCUGGCUCAGUCUCGCAGUCGGUGUCUGUCUAGAUGUCCUUGGCCUCGGCAUCUUGAACCUCACUCUCAAACCAGAUGUCGNNNNNNNNNNNNNNNNNNNNNNNNNNNNNNNNNNNNNNNNNNNNNNNNNNNNNNNNNNNNNNNNNNNNNNNNNNNNNNNNNNNNNNNNNNNNNNNNNNNNNNNNNNNNNNNNNNNNNNNNNNNNNNNNNNNNNNNNNNNNNNNNNNNNNNNNNNNNNNNNNNNNNNNNNNNNNNNNNNNNNNNNNNNNNNNNNNNNNNNNNNNNNNNNNNNNNNNNNNNNNNNNNNNNNNNNNNNNNNNNNNNNNNNNNNNNNNNNNNNNNNNNNNNNNNNNNNNNNNNNNNNNNNNNNNNNNNNNNNNNNNNNNNNNNNNNNNNNNNNNNNNNNNNNNNNNNNNNNNNNNNNNNNNNNNNNNNUAGUGCUGGGUUAAUAUGGGUUAGUGAGCUUUCUGGCAUCGAUGAGAUCUUGGAUUUCAUGCUUUGGUCAGAUGCAGUUAUUGGAGUGGUGGCCAAGUGCUUGGUGGAAUUUGCAGUAAGUGUUAGGCUUGUAUCCAAGUGUGUUUGGGUUCAAUGGGUUCUUUAGGGUGAUAGGUUGGAGCAUGCAAUUUUGAAGCAGUCUCUCAAGAUCUUAGAGAGCAGUUGCUUGAAGUUAGAAAACUUCCUCGGUUGCUGCAUAACAUUCACAUCCAGGGUUCAUCAUCUGUGACCUUUCAACACAUCUAGGAAGAACAUUUCAGACCACCAUGCGAAUCUGAUCCUUUUCAGAGGGCUUGUUCUUCAUCAGGCUAGCCUUAUUCCUCCAUCUAGUUAAGAAAUCAAAAGACUCAUUUGGCUUCUGCUUAGUUGAUUCGAGAUCCCUGAUUGACACUUCCAAAUGAGUAUUGUAGUCGUACUGCUUAACAAAGGAAUUGCAGAAAUCACGCCACUCAGCUUUGGCGAAUUUCUUCAGACUUAUGUACCAGUUGACCGCGGGCCCUUCUAGUGACAGCACAAAUAGCUUAACAAUUUGUGUCCUACUUAGCUGAGUAGUUCCCAUGUUCAUCACAAACUGCUUUGGAUGAACUUUCGAGUCACUACUCCCGUUAAACUUGUUCAUCUCAAGCAUCCUAAACUUUGUAAGCAGCUUGUCUUUCCUUGUCAAAACCAGCUCUUCGAAAUCAUAGGUUGGGUCCAAACCUUUGAUUCCAGCAUACCUUACAUCUUAUCAAGUUGGGCACUCAGUCAACUCAUAGCUUUGUUGGUGGCAAGAGAAGUCUCCAUCUUAGCCUAGUCAAGCAUGAAUUUAUUGAAUCCCAAAAGUUUUGGGGCACUCCCCUCCUAGCUGGGUCCUCAACAUUAGCACUGGCAUUAGACGCAGUAGUAGUAGUAGCAGCAAUCUUAAUGGCAACCACAGCCCGGUCAAUAGUAACAGGAGGGUUAGCCGGUACAACCGGAGCAAUAGUGAGGCUUAGUCUGCAGCCAUCCCAGCUAGGAGUUGUUGAAGUUCCUCCCGAAUCACACUCCUCAAGUCUUUGAUUACAACAUUCUUAAGGGUCUCGACGUCCUAUUCAUUAGCUCUUUCGUUGGUCAUCUCUUUUUAGCAUCUCGGUCUUUCUAGAUGCUCUAACACAGUUCUGAUUCUUAGAGAAAUGGACUAUGUCUAACCUUUCAUUAUCUUAUCUCUUCCAACCCAUGGGAGAGUGUAUAUGGCUGAGAAAAAGGUUAAUAUGAUGCAUGUAAUGUAUGGGAUGUAUUAUGUGCUAUGCAUAUGAACAAAAGAGAAAAGGUUAACAUACAAAGUAAUAUACAAUUCAUCCUUCUAACCUUAUUACUCCCGCACACGGUUCUUAAUGAGUCUUUUUUCCCUAGGAUUUUUGGCUUGGGCUUUCCAUCAAUAGGGGAUAAUAGGUCCGACGAGCAUGCCAUAAGCUCUCAAAGCGGAUUAAAAUAAAUAAGGUGAUGUUUCUUAGUGUAAUAAUAAAAGUCUGCAUAUUUUAGGCCUAGAGACUAGUUCGCAUUUGGCCAAGGUUUCAAUGCUUGGGCUUAAAACACUUACAAGGAAGAACAUCUCACAUAGCAAGCAACAGGGUUCCUAGGGGAGAUUUAUUACGGUCAUUGCCAUGAGUUGAGUCUUGGGUAAGAAUAAAAGGCUCCCACAAGCAAAAGGUAUCCUUUCUUGGCUAGUCUCCCCACUCAAGGGUCCAUGCGACAAAGAAAAUACACUAUUUACUUGUGAGUGAUGGUAGCCAGUGUUGCAAUUCUAAAAUUCGAGUGGAACCAAAGAACCGCUAGUCGACACCAUUAGGGCUAUAAGGACCAAUGUGUAUAGUGUGUGAAAGUGUAAUGAUACAAGAAUAAUUUAUUAAAUAAUAAAAUUAAUGCCAAACAUACACUGAAAUCAACUUCUCUUAUCUCUAGUGGAGUUACCACUAUAGGCGGCGGUUUCCGGAGCACACCCAAGUGUCUUUAACGACUAUGGCAUUGUAAGGCUUUUCAACCUAAUCAGGAACACACUAACUAGUCACUAAGACUAGCAGAGAGAUGGGAGUCGCCACUCGGGUGAUCAUUGUGACACUUUUACUAAUGAGUGGUAUUUCUCAAAUUUCAUAAAGAAGCUUACACUAUAGAGUCCACAGAUGGAUCCGGAAGCCUAUCAGACUACCAGAUUCAUGUUGGAUCAGCUUUUAACCCUAAGUCUAUGUGGCCCAUUUUUAUUAAUCAAUCAUAUAAUUAUAUAUUUACUUAACAUACAAUAAAUAAAAAUAAAUGAAAUAAAGCAGAAAGAAAAUUCCUAAUUAUUACAAUCUGCCUACAACUACGAUUGUGAAAAGAAAAAGACCUAAAACUAUAUAGAGGUUAGGAAUACAUCAAAAUAUGUCAAAAAUAUAUUAAACUUAGAGUCUAUCUUGAACAACUGGCCGAAUAUACAUGAGGAGUCGAUCAGCUCAAUGUAAAGCAAUUGGCUCUUCAUUGAACUGAUAAGCUCUAGGGUCCUUAGGCAAGUUAUCAUUGAGUGUCCUUCGAUCACCAACACAAUCUCGCAUUCUUAGAGCCGAUUUUCACAUAUAUAGAUGUUAAUAAUUAAUUAGAAUGAGAUAAAAUAGAUUAAAAAAAUAUAAAAAUAAAAGUUAUAGAAGCAAAUCAAAACCAUAAAUCACUAAAAUCCUAAAUCUCAUAAACUAAUAGAAAACAAUCAAAACAAAAGAAUCAUGUUUGAAUAGGUUCAAUUACUUAAUCAUAAUAACAAAUAGAUCUAAAUAUUAACUCUAUAGUAUGUUUCUAAUCAAAUCUAAAAUUAUGCUUGUCAAACAUCAAAUCUCAAAAAAGUCCCAAGUUCUUAUUAUCAUAUUCAAACCUAAUCUAAUCAUAUUUAUCAUAAGAUCAAAAUUCUAAUCAUGUUUCUAAGAAUAGAUAAUAUAAAAAACACAAGAAGAAAUGCAAGAAUUGAUUUCUAUGAUGAAUGUGGAUGUAUGGUAGAACGAACCCUCAGGUUGUCACCUUGAAUGUUGGAUCUGUGAGUCUCGGGCAAUAAGAAUGCAGUCGAAUCAAAAAAUAGCUUUGUGAAAUCUUCUAUCAAUUGAAAAAUUGUUUCUAAAAUGCUAUUUCUUAACUGACUUAUUUCCUAAAAUGUCUCUUUCUUUAAUGGCUUCUACUCUAUAACGAUAGCUAAGAUUAAUGAUGCUUUUCUUUUUUAUUUUCUCUCUGUUCUUUCUUUCUCGAUAUUUUCUCUAUAUCGAUUUAACUUACAGUUGAAUUUUAGUUCUUGAUUCCUCCUUGAAACCUUAAACACCUCGUUCUAUUUAUAGAGAUGGGGUUUCAAAAGAAACUCUAGAGAAAGCAUAGGUUUUUAGGAAAUAUUGAUAAAUAUCCAAUUUAUUUAUUUAAAAUUAAAAUAAUUAUCGAUAAAAUUAUAAUCAUCGCUAAGAAAACCUUAUAGAAUUUGUAAUUGAUUGUAAAAUUGUCUGAAAAUACAACGUCAGAGUGUCAAAAUCCAAUCAGUUCUAUGAAGAGCCGAUUGGCUCUAUAGAGGAAGUUUUACAAUUUGUUAUUUAGUUCCUGAUUUUAUAAAAAAAUCAUCGUUUUAACACUCAAAUUUAGUUUUUCUUGGCAAUUAGGUCCAAAUUCAUUUUAAAAAGAUAAUUCCAGCUGGAUUAACCUCGACCUUAGCCUAGGAUUCAUUUUUCCUUCACCUUCCGAGACCCGAGAAGGCAAUAACUUUCAUCAUAGGGUUUUUCCUUUUCCCCUCGAUAUCUAGAUCCGGAAAAGGGGUGCUAACAAUAAUCCUCGUUCUUCUUCUUAUUAAAACACUGGAUCCUUAAGGUCGACAUUCCCAUUUCGACUAGUAUUAUAACUUUUGCUCCAUAUGCCAAUUUAAAGGACGUCUCUCUAAUAGCUGUUCUAGGUGUGGUUAUGUAUGGCCAAAGAAUACUAUGAAGCUCAUCAACCCAUCUACCUUUUCUUUUAUCUUAUCUUCUUUUUCUACCCUUGGAGGAUUGGUUGAUUUGUGACCUUCGUUAGCCUAUUGGACUGGGGACGAGCAAUAGAGGUAAACCUUAGGUUGAUUUUUAUAUGAGUAUAGAAUCUUUUGAACUCCUUAUUAUCAAACUGCUUCCUAUUUUCAGUCACAACGGUAUAAGGAAUGUCAUAUUUGCAAAUGAUUUCUCUCUAGAAGAAGUUAAUUAUUAUUUUUUAUGAUGGUUGCCACAACUUCCACCUCAACCCACUUUGUGAAGUGGUCAAUGGCUACAAAUAGGAACUUCUUUUGACAUGCUGCCGUCACGAAAGGCCUAAUUAUGUCCAUGCCCCAUGCUGCGAAAGGCCAGGGACUGGUGAUCAAAAACUAUAGUUAUAUAUGUAGAUGAGAUACAAUAUGAUGCUCUUGACACUUGGUGCAAGUUUGUAUGAGCGUAAUUCCUGUAAAUUUUAAAUUCUAGUUUCACUAAUUCUAAGGGGAAAAUUGGUAAAUUAAUAUUUAUAUGAAUAAAUGAGUGCUAUCUAAUUUAACAUUUCUAAAUAAUUAUAUUAUAUUGAUUUGUGAUUUUAGAUAAUUAAAUUGUAAUUUUAUUAAUUUUAUCAAGUAAUUUAUUUUGAUUAAUCAUCAUAUUAUAUAUAUAUAUAUAUAUAUAUAUAUAUAUAUAUAUAUAUAUAUAUAUAUGUAAGUGUAAAUAUUUAAAUUUAAGGGAGCUUUGGUACUAUAAAUUAAGAGAAGGGAUUGUAAUGAAAAUUUACAAAAAAAAAGGAAGGAAAAAGAAUUAAAAAAAUAAAAACAAUUAGUUGGAUCAUGUAUAGCCCCUCCCCCUCCCCUUUUCUCUUUUUUCUUUUCCUUUUCUCUUCUUCUCCGACACACACAAUGUUCCCCCUCCCAUUACCAUUGCAGCCACCAGCCUCUACCAUUUCUCCUACUCCUUCCGCCUAUGCCACUAUCAAUCCCACCCCUCACCGGAAAACACUCUAGAAGGAUGCAAAAAAGCUGCAACUCGCUGCCACUGCUAGAAUGAUGUCUUGCCAGCCCCAUUUCGUGAUUAUGACUUUAAAAAUAGACUCUCCACCAUUAGAAACCUUAGGAUAGCCCUCUUUUCCUCCUUUUCCGUCGCCAAAAAGGGUGUUCAAAAUUCAGCGAAGCCAAACCUCUCGGGCCUCGAUCCGGUGAGAUUUUGGCAAAAGCAAUUGCAUAUUCAAACUCUACAUUAGUCAUGCUUCAUGUAGGCACCUUCCAAUUCAAAUUAUGACACCGUUGAUGGUACCGGCUUUCAGAUUCUGGUGUUUUUCGGCCCGUAGAAAUUUGGGCUUUUAGCUCAGUAUAAUUUAUUUAGACCCAAAAAUUAUUGAAAAUUUUUUAAAAGAUAUUUGGUACAUUAAUUGUUAGUUAUAAAUAAUUAAUUAAAUUAUUUAAUUAAUUAUUUGCUUAAUUGUAAAAAUAUUGUGGAUUUAUUUUAGUGGUUAAUUAUUAUUUGGUUUGAUGAAAGUUGUAGCUGUGAGUAAUUAAAUUAAGAUGCGAGAAAUUAUAUGUGCGAUUGGAUCAUAAAUUAAUUGUGAACUGGGUUGUGUUACAGAGUCGAAAAAAAUUAUGCAGUUAUGAGUGACUCGACUCCUGUUAAAUAAUUGGACAAUAUUAUAAGUGUUUUCUUAGUAGGUUCUGGACCCAUUUUACGGGGGAUAAAUGUUCGUAUUUUAGGGGAGGUUCUGCCAAAUUUUCGGGUAGAAUUUUAGAGUCGAAAUUCUUAGACAGUUAAUUCUAAGAGUCUAGGCCUAAGGUUGUUUACUAAAUAUUUUACUUUUAUUGAUUGUGUUAUUUCCGUGAAUAGAUACCCUGUCGAUUCAGCCUGCUCCAACCGAGGUAUAGGAGUAGAGCAAGGGGAUCGUCAGAACAGUGAGUUAAGGUUGUAUAUCCUCUGCAUGUGUCCUGCCAAUUUUUAUGUAGCAUUUUUGACUAAUAAUUAUCACAAAUAUUUUUAGUAUUAUUAUCAUAUUAAUAUAUUUUUGCUAUUAUAGAUAUUGCUUGAAAUUUUUUAUUAUUUAUUAUUAUGUAUUCAAUUAAUUGAUUUAUAGAUUUAAAUUAUUUAUCUAAUUAAUUAAAUUUAGGUCUGCAUUACAUGUUCUAUUCAAUUUUAUUUAAUAAGUUAUUGAACAAUGGUAAGAUUGCUUGCUAUUUAUGUCAUUUUCAUAUAAUCACAUGCCACCUGAUAGAUUGCAUUAGGACCGUGUGCACACCAGUAUAAAUCAAAGAUAGGUAAUAAGGGAAUAUAUUUUAUGAUAUGCCUUGGUUGAGUAUAACUUUCUAGACUAUGAAAAUUUGAUUGCCGGAGGAAAGAUCCCUGGUAAAGCAUUACUUUUUAGAUGCCGGCUAUACUGGAAAUUAAGUGACCAAGCUAGAUUUAAGGACCCUGGUUUAGCUUCGCUUUCUAGACGCUAGUCUUAUUGGAAUAAAAGAGCCGAAAGGCUAAUAAUAUUGAGAUUAGGGUUCUGCUGAAGUACUAGUAUCGUAUGUGUUAAAAUUGCAUAUUUGUAAAUUAUGAUAUGAUACAUAAUUAUUAUUCUGUGAUGUUUUAUAUUAUUUAAUUUUAUAUAUAUAUAUAUAUAUAUGGCUGCUUAAAUUUAGAUAUAUGAUUUUAACUCACUUUAGAGACUGACAGUCUCAAUUUUAAUUUUUCAGGUCACAUCUAAGUUCUCCGUCAUCUUUCUCUUGACAGUUCGACUUUCUCCUCCUUCAAGCCUAUUGUAAUUAAUUUCUUUCUUUGUAUUUUGAACUAUUUAAAAAUCUAGACUCUCUGCAAUAAUUGUUCCAAAGCUUAAAUAUUUUAUUUUGGUCUGUUAAAACUGUGGAAAAAUAUUAAGCGAUCAUGCUGAUGGAUUAAUUUAAUUGUGUUGUGAUUAUAUGAAUGAAUGUUGGUAAAUAAAUUGUUGAUAUAUUCGACUAGUAUUUAUAUAUGUGGGUACUAUUUGAGUUAUUGAUUAGUCAGGCUUGCUACAGGUUUUGGUGGCCUUAAGCCUACCCAUUCCCUAGCACCGGUCACAGUCCCACAGAUAGGGUCGUGAUAAUGAACUUCUAUCCUCAAAGGAUGGCUUUUCUAGCUAUGGUGCUAGAUGCUUCAUGAGCACCACAAAUCCCUUCAUAGAUCUCUCUAAGGACAUAAUCUGCUUUUUUCAUCGAGAUACAUCUAGACCAAGGAUGAGAUAUUAACUUUCUAUAAAAGAUACCCUCUUGAAAGAGUACAUGGCUAAGAUUUUCACUAUCUUAGUUGCAAAAUUCUCAUCUUCUGGUAACUUUUCUUCUUCAAGGUACUGGAUGAUCUCUUUCAUCCAUAGGUCGUACUCUUCGAUGACUAAUACCUCUUCUUUCGCUAUGUUGGGCUGUUCAAGUAUGUAGAACAAAAUCUUAUUACUUGGCUCCCAUUGCGAGGCAAGCUUAGCUAGAUAAUCUACUUCUUUGUUUUUAUCUCAUGGGACCUGGAUAAUACUCCAUUGGUCUCUACCAUCCUCAAUUCUCUAUAACAUAGCUUUUGCCUGACUUAUAUACUUGGCGAGAUCAAGAUCUUUAACUUCAAAGAUCUCCAUUAUUUUAUUGACCACUAGCUGUGAAUCACUGAUGAUAUUCAAAUGUUUGGCUCGCAUUAUUACUGCCAUCUUUAGACCUAUAAGUAAUGCUUCAUACUCGACAAUAUUAUUAGAAGCUUUAAACUUAAUUUUUACCAAGCUUUUAAGCUGAAUAUUGUUUAGUCCCUCAAGAUGUAUGCAUGCUCCUGCCCUAUCAACAUUAGAUGCUCCAUCAACAUGCAAUAACCCUUUGACAAGAUCUUCAUCAACUUUUUCUAUAAUUUCAGGCAUGCUCAUCUCUAUCACGAAGUCAGCUAAUACUUGUGCUUUCAUAGCCUUUUUGGGCUCAUACCGAACAUCAAAAGCCCCCACCUGAAUCGACCAAUGGAUAAGUCACCAAAAUGUCUCUAGCCACUACAGUACCUUUCUCAAUGGUUGGUUCAUUCUGACUAUUAUUGUGUGUUCUUAGAAAUACUAUAUGAGCUUAAUAAUAAUGGUGAUGACAGCUAAAGACAACUUUUCUAUCAUAGGAUACCGAGUUUUUGCCCCUUUCAAGACCUUACUCGUAUAGUAGAUAGGCUUCUGCUCGCCAUGUUCCUCCUUAACAAGGACGAGGCAAUGGUUUCCUCAGUCACUGCUAGAUAUAAAUACAAAUUUUCCCCACUCAAAGUUCUGCUAAGUAAGGGUGGUGAAAUUAGAAGCUUCUUCAUCUCCUCGAAAGCCCUUUGACAUUCUUUUAUCCAUUCAAAGUUUUUAACAUUCUUAAAAGUCUUGAAGAACGACAGACAUCUUUUAGCUGAGCAAGGGAUGAACCGACCAAUAGCUAUUAUUUAGACAUUUAACUUUUGCACCUCCUUGAUGCUACUUGGUGGACUCAUCUUUAUGAUUGCCUUGAUAUUUCUUAGGGUUAGCCGUUAUCCCUUUCUACAAGAUCAUGAAUCCUAAGAACAUCCUAGCUUUAACACCAAAGGCAUACUUAUCAGGGUUUAAUUUGAGUUGGUACUUCUCUAUGAUGUUGAGUGCUUCCUUAAAAUCUCUAGCAUAAUCCUCAGCCUUAGCUGACUUGAUGAUCAUAUCAUCCAUAUAUACCUCCACAGUUUUGCCGCUCUGAUAUUUGAACAUAGUGUUUACCAAACUUUGGUACGUUGCUCCAGCAUUAUUUAGACCAAAAGGCAUUAUUGUAUAACAAAAGGUACCUAUAUCCGUGACAAAAGAAGUCUUCUCUUCGUCAGAAUUAAACAUCUUAAUCUAAUGAACCCCUGAGCAGUAUUGACAAAGUUUUAUACUACAUAAUUACUUAUUGAAUCCACUAACUGGUCAAUGUUGGAAAUGGGAUAACUAUCUUUUGGACAAGCCUUAUUUAAAUAUGUACAAUCUACACAUAUUCGCCAUCCCCUAUUUGGCUUCUUAACCAAAACCACAUUCGCUACCUAAUUAGGAUACGUUACUAGCCUGAUGAACCUAGCUUUUAGCAGCUUGUUGACUUCUUUAGCUAUGGUGAUUUACUUUUUAGGAGCAAAGCUUCUCUUCUUUUGCUUGACCGACUUAAAACUAGGAUUGACAUUUAACUAAUGGGAGAUUAUACAUGGAUCAAUCCUAACUGUUUCAGAAGGUGAGCUAGCAAAUAUGUGCAUUUUCUCAGUAAGCAUCUGUUAUAUACUUUGGAUCACUUGACCAGACAAUUCGAUGCUGACCUAAACUACCUUCUUUAGAUCCCCGCUAAAGAUAACUUUUUUAACUCUCCCAUUACCUCUACUUUUGCUGAACCUUCCAUUGUUGGAUGCAUCAAAGCUUCUACAAGGAGUGCUUGUCAUGUCCUCUUCAAUAAGGUAAGAUAGCAUUCUCUCGCCAUCUUCUAGUUACUGAGCAUAGUUAUAACCCCUCUAGAAAUUAGAAUCUUCAGCUUUAGAUAGUUGAUGUUCAUGGCUGCCUUUAUUUCCACAGCAUAGGUCGUCCGAAAAUUACAUUGUAUGCAAAUGGAAUAUCAAUUACCAUGAAGGAGGUUUGCCACUUCUUGGUCAGUCCCUUAAUUCUAUAUGCUUUCCUAGUUUUUCCCUAAGUUAUACCGUUAGCUUAGUUAUCCCGAAAGGUUGUACUGGUUGGCUACCUAAAUUGAGUAAUUGAGUCGUGCACAGCUUCAAAUUCAUCACUCCCCUACUGAUGGCCUCGUAGCACUAUAGAGCUAUGAUAUUGAUCGCAUUUUUAUGAUCCAUAAAUAGCCUCCUUACCUAGUAGUUCUCAAUGAAUCCUGAGACUACUAAGGCAUCUUAGUGAGGCAUUUCAAUUUCUUCUCUAUCCUUCUCUGAGAAAACUAUAUCUAAAAGUUUCUCAUUCUCGGUCAUCAUAACUGUGACACCUGUAAAGGAUGUCAGACAUACAUUGUAUGCAAAGACUGAUACAUAACAUAUUUCUUAACUACUAACUUUUAACUCACAAAUUAAUAUGUAUAACAAAAACUAUUUAUAUGAGUCAUACAUAUCACAUACCAAAAAGCUCACAACAUCAAAUAGUACACUUUUCUUUUAUACACAUAGAAUGCUCCAGAUUUAUACAUGAUAAUGAAAUCCACUAGACAUGUCACGUCCAAGAAAGAAAAACUGAGGGCGACCUCCUGCUGACCUACUUGACAUAAUGCUAGUGCGAUAGAUGUAAAUGUUUCGUCAAAACUAAUUAUAAUUCUUCUAAUCCUAAAAAAGAAAUAAUGCAGAGGAGUGAGCCUGCAACUCAGCAAAAGAAUAACAUAACUUCCAAUGAAAAAUAACACAAUCAAACGUGUAGUAUUAUCAAACAUCAAACUAUUCGAUAUUUAAUUAUGACUUUAUAGUGUUUACAUAAACCUUGUCAUAGCAUUUUCUUUAGGACAACAAUGAACUUGUGAAUUAUAUUUAAUUCCAUAAUAAUAUAUAUAUUUUUAUUUUCAUGGAUCCCCAUACGCACACAGCCAACUAUAAUCUUAUGGGGAAUUCCAUAUCGCACACAGCCUUGCCUCAUUCACAAGUAGUAUUGCGUCCUUACAAUCAUCUGACCAUAAUUCUUAUAUAUAUAUAUAUAUAUAUAUAUAUAUAUAUAUAUAUAUAUAUAUAUAUAUAUCAUUUAAAUAACUAACAUCUCCAUAAUAUAUAAGAAACCAUAAUAAUACCUAUGAUAUACCAAAAACAUACCAUAUUCCAACAUGGCAGAUUUAAUAGUAUGCAUUCACAAAUACACCAAACAUUCCACAUUAGGAAUUCCAAAGCCAUAUUCUCCAGAUCAGUAAUAUUAUAAGUCUAGAUUAAUUUAAAACUGAUUUUAUAUCAAAUGGAUGUGUAUAGAAAGAGAAACAUCAAAAACAUUCUACCAUGGUCAAGCUGUCAAUAAAAUUAAGCAACAGAAAGUAUGAUCCAGAUUGGCCAUCAAAACAGCAAAAUCAAGCUUCCUCUAUUUCUAUAAUAUUUGUAAAUUACAUUUCAAAUUUUCUAUAGCAAUAAGUAGCACUCCAUUUGGAGUUAUAAAACUCCAGAUAUGGCUAAAUCAAAUAUAUUAUUCACAUUAUAACAGGACACUCGAAUUCACCAUUCAACAUUCAUAUAGAACAUUAAGUUAUUCACUUGCCUUUGUUGCUCCCUUCCCUUUGCUUGAGCUUGGGUGUCACCCUCAUUCCAAAUUAGUUUAGCUGAAAUAGAUCAUAAUUCACUUAUUUUUAAAUACCCAAAGUUAAUAGAAUUUCAUAUAGCAUGAUAACGUCACUAAACUCUCUACAUAUGUGUGGCUGCCAACUAUGACAGAAUUAAUAGAGUGAAUUUAAAAAUCCACCAAAACUUCUAUACAAUAAAUUUCAUAAUGAAACUUUUCAUAUCACUAACCUUAUGUCUCUAAUAUAAUUUAAAACUGAUUUUGUUUCAAUUGGAGGUGUAUAGAGAAAUAUUCGUAUAAAACAAUCCACCUUACUCACACCAAAGAUGGAAACUGAACAAUAAAAUGUAUUCUCUUAUUAUACUAACAUAGAGUCUGAUUCAGAUCGAGCUAAAGAAAUAAAAGCUUUAGAUGACCCUUUAAAAUUUCUAUAUUAUUAAAGAACACUCAAUUUAAAGCUUUCUAGCUUAAGAUAUGAUCAAAAAAAUAAGACUGAAAAAUUAGAUCUUUAGAACUCGAAUUCUAUGUCUUCUAAACCCUAACUCAAUUUAACAAAAUAUUAAAAUUACUUACCAAAUAAACCUCUAAAGCCUUUGUAGAUGAAGAUUAAGAUCAAAAAUGGAUUUUAAACCUCCAAAUUCCACUUGAAAAUUCAGUUUCCUUUUUUUUGAAGAAGAAGAAGAAGAAAGAAAGAAGAAGAAGAAGAAGGAAGAAGAACUACUACCUUUUCUUUCUUCUUCCCCUUUUCUAUCACAUUAAUAUUUUUUUUUUAGGUUCAAUUAACCCCUUAAUUUUUUUCCAUUAAUCAACUCAAUCCUUUAACUUUCUAAUUCUUAUUAUGGACUUAAUUGUAACAUAUAUAAUAUUCNNNNNNNNNNNNNNNNNNNNNNNNNNNNNNNNNNNNNNNNNNNNNNNNNNNNNNNNNNNNNNNNNNNNNNNNNNNNNNNNNNNNNNNNNNNNNNNNNNNNNNNNNNNNNNNNNNNNNNNNNNNNNNNNNNNNNNNNNNNNNNNNNNNNNNNNNNNNNNNNNNNNNNNNNNNNNNNNNNNNNNNNNNNNNNNNNNNNNNNNNNNNNNNNNNNNNNNNNNNNNNNNNNNNNNNNNNNNNNNNNNCUGAUCUCUAUCUCUUGAUCCUUUGGAGACCUUAUAACUUAUGUCCUUAUUGAACUGACCUUCUUUUCUAACAAUAAACCUCUUAAGGUGCUCUCUCUCAAUCAGCCUGUCAAUAUUUCUCUUAAGGCGAAUGCAAUCCUCUGUAUCAUGACCAUGAUCAUUAUGGAACUUAUAAUAUUUGUUUUUAUUCUUGCAAUCUGCGGUUUGCUUGGAUACUGGAUCUCACCUUUAUUCUUUUGAACCCACAUCAAGAUGUCGGUUCUUAAUGUGUUCAGAGGAACGUCUUUAGUAUUAUUGCUCCUAGAAUCAAUCUUCCUCAUAUCAUCCCUAUACCCUUGCUUAGGCUGAUCAGACUUACCUUUUGACCGAUUAUCAUGGUUGGUCCUUCUUGUAACUUGGUAAUCUUCGUCUAACCUGAUGAAACUGUAAGCUCGAUCCAUGAGCUCAGCGUAUGACUCUAGCAGGUCAAUGGUUAAUGAUUCCUUGAACGUGUUCAUGCAAGUAUUGUCAAUCAUUGCAUCUAUAGUUGUAUCCUAGUUGAGCUUUUCUACUUGGACAACUUCUAUGUUCAACCUUUCCAUAAAAUCUUUCAAGAUUUCAUCACGCCUUUGAAUAUACUUUUUUAGAUCAUUGGACCUCAUCUUUAGAGGUAUGCUAGUGAGGAACUGAGCUUUAAAUAAUUCAACAAGAGUAGCAAAGUUAUAUAUAGAGCCAUCUGGCAAGCUCUGAUACCACUUAUGUGCACUUUUCUUUAGGGUUGUUAGGAAAAUUCUACACCUGAUUGGAUAUGACACAUUAUGUAAUCCUAUGUUAAUGUUAAAAUUAUUAACAUGAUCUAGUGGAUUCCCUGAACUAUCAUAGAAAUCUAAAGGUGGCAAUCUUAGCUUCUUAGGGAAGUGCUCUGCUGGGAUGCUCGGACAUAGGGGAUUACCCUUAAAUAGAACCUCAUCUCUCAUUAUUCUUCCUAUACGAUACUUUUUCAGAGAUCAUUUACUUUCUUAUUGAUGGUCUACUCAAGACAUGCAGAAUCAUGAGUUUGAGAAUCAGAACUCUCCACCUCAAUUUUUCUAGCUCGAUUAUUACUUUUACGAGACCUAUUAUCCUUUAUUUGAUUAUUUUUUAUCCACAAGAUUUAUAUGGUCGGUGGUGGACUGAUAUCAAUGCUACACUCUAUCAUUGUAGGAGCUCGGUUGGUGUUUAUUGGCAUAGUUUGCCUUACAAGUGUUUAAGCUAGAACAUUCUCAUAAUACUUCUUCACCCACCUAUUGAUUAUACAUAGUAACAACAUCCUUUGGCGAGGCUUGCUAAAGAUGUUGAGGGAGAUCUAGUGGUAGAGCUCGGCUAUGAGGUGUAAUGGGCGACGAGAAGAAUGGGGACUGAGAUAUAGGCGCUUGAGGUUUCUGCCCCAUCUCCCUUUGCCAAGUAACUAAAAUCUCUCCACAGGGAUAGACCUCUCUAGGUAUAAUUUCCACUGAAGAUCUCCUCAGGUAUGAAAUUAAUAUUGGAAAGAUUUCUUCUCUAGGGCUGGAAAGAUGGUGUGAUCAUUCCUGUAGGACUUGAGGAUCGAUGAUCGACUUGUGGGGGCAAUUAGAGGUCUAGUAGGUGUAUCACUGAUUCCAACUCCAGUCCUUGGUGGGAGAACAUCAUCUUUUUGAUCUUGACCAGAUGUUAUUUAGCUUGAUGAGAUAGGAAAAUAAAGUUUUUUGCGCAAAGUUUUUCCAUAGACAGAGCCAAUUGAUAACUCGGUCAACUAGAUGAGCUAUCAAUAAGAUAUUGAAAGGUUGACCCGAUCUCUGGAGUACCUAUAAAAAUGGUUAAAAGGCGUCGAAUGGGGUUGUCCGACCACUUACUUUGAUAAUUAAAUUAAUAAUUUAUGAAAGGAUGGCUUAAAGUAUAAUGAGUGUGUAAAAUAAUAUAUUGUAGCUUUUUAUAUAGACGUUGAAGAUCUNNNAGUUCGACUAUGACACGGUCUCUUAGACUUUAACCAUUUACAGUUUAAACUCAAACCUCAUUGAGAUAAAAUAAAUGUGAAUCAAAUGAACAAACAAAAAUUAAGAACUAAUAUAUAAAAUGGAAUUUAUAAUUUACAUUUAUAUUUAAAUGAAAAAUUUAUUUCUUAUGCUACUUUUCAAUUGUUUUCUGGUAACUGAAGAAGCUUGCAUUUUCGUUAUGAGAUUUGUCAAUGGUUGAAUUACAUAUAUAUAUAUAUAUAUAUAGUGGUAAGAAUUUAGAUAGGCUUUUAAUUUGUGCACUUACUGAUUGUUUAGCUCGUCAUAUUCUUAGUUUGGAUGUAGCUAUGUAGUGGUUUGCACAUCAUGUUUGUUGUUUAUCUUCUUUAGCUAAGGAUGUGAGCAUUAUAGAUUCUCUUAAUUUUUUGAUUCUUGUUUAUUGUUAUUUCUUUUUAAUAAAGUAUUUUGGGAUGCCCAUUGUGUUGGUCCGAAUAACUUGUUAUCCUAGCUGAAAUGCUCAGAUAACUAAGAUGUUUGGGUGCAUUUUUAAAGUGCCUUUCAAGUAAAUUCAUGUUUAAAAAAUAGAAAAAGAGGAAUAAUCUUUUACUAGAUUAGAGUUAGACUCAUAUUUGGUGUACUUGCAAUUUCUAGUUGCUUUGCAAUCAAAUGCGCCCUUAGAAAGAUUAUAUAUAUUAUUAAAUUCUUUUUUCUAUAUUGGUUGAAUUCUUUAAAUAGAUUUAUGAUAGGCCAAAAUUAUAUAUGGUUAUUUAGGAUAUUUUAGAGUAUUUAUGAUAUAUUUUCUAUACAUAAUAUAGUGAAAAUAUGUAUUUUUACUUCACUUAAGCUUUACUGUAUAUUUUCAAGUAAUAUUAGCUAAGAGAGAAAAAUAUGAAGAAAAAUACUAAAAGAUGAGAUUAAAUAGGACUGCUGCUGUUGAAGACCAAUAUUAAGAUGCAUAAACUGCUAUUUGUAAGGCUUAGCGGAAAAUCAUUAUUCAUUUAGGGGCAAUGUAGUCACUUUAUUUAAUUAUUAGGAUUUGAGUUAGAUUUAUUUUGGGAUAAUAUUUGGUAAAAAUAAGAAUAUCUAUAGUUCUAUCUAUUAGAUAGACUUAUAUUGUUAUACUUAUCUUUAGGAAAACUUAUAUUGGUGGAUGACUCUACUCUGUAUAUAUCUUUAUAAAUUUAAUUCUAAAAAGAGGAGGAGAGGUCUCUCAUAUUUGCUCUCUGCUAUAUCUCCCGUUAGCAUAUGUGCACCACUCAUCUCUACAAUUCUCUAUAAUUCUACAUUAAACACUUAGUUUUAGUAUUCAUUGUUCUUUUAAAAUCUAAUAAGCUUUUUAAGAAGUGAAGAGUGGGGAUCAAUUAUUUUUUUACCUUCAAGAAAUUCUAGAUCUAGAGGGAGCUUUAAUUUUCAGUCUUAUUUUAUGUCUUUCUAUUUAAUACCGUGAUCAUUUGGUUAAAUAUGCUAGGCCGACUUUUAUAAGUAUUUAGUUUAGCCUUUUUACUUAUGUAUGAACCUUGUUAUUUUUUAUUAGUUUCAGUUAUUAUUAUUAAUUAACCAUCAUAUUAAUUUAAUAAUAGUAAUUGUUAUGAAAAUAGUUAGAUUGAAUGUAAUAGAACAUCAUCUUUGCUUCAAUCAAUGUUGGUANNNNNNNNNNNNNNNNNNNNNNNNNNNNNNNNNNNNNNNNNNNNNNNNNNNNNNNUUCAAUAGAUCUAGGCUUAAAGUAAAACAAGGGGGUUACUAAGUAAUUGGCUAGGCUAAAUACCAUUUUUAGCAUAUAGUUUUAAAUCAUAAGCAUUUGCAUUGCAUAUUUACUUUAUUAGUUUGUUGUAUUUCUUUUAUGAAUAUUAAUCUCUCAAAAUAUUAGUUUAGAGUGUUUAGAUUUACUUUUAGUGUUUUUGUGUUGAUAAUUAAUCUAUAUAAUAAAUGGCUCAUAGUUCCUUGAAAUAUCAAUCUCAUAGUGUUUUACCGCCAUUUACUAUAAGCAUGGUUCGUAUACUUCGACUACUAACUUAGACACAUCAAUUUAUGUUCAUAUUAUUGUAUCUAAAAAAUAGUUUUCCAAAAUCUUAUUAAGUUUAAGUUUAUAAUAAUUAAUAAAUAAGAAUUCAUAAAUUAGCUUUAGAUUUGUAUACAUAUUUUUUUAGUUUUUAUAUUUAAUAACCUAAUUGACGAUUUAUAAAUAUAAAUUUAUAAAUUAAAUUACUUUUAUUAUAUAUUCUAAGUUUGAUUAUAUUUUUCAUUUCUUAUUAAGUUUAGUGAGGCAACUUUGUAAAGUUUUUAAAAUAAUUAAGAAUUUAAUUAGUUAAGAUUUAAAAUAUAAGGACUUAUCUAAACUUUUUAAAAUUAUAAAAAUUAAAAGAUAUUCGUUACCUCAUGUUGAAAAGAUAAAAAUGCAAGACAUCAAUGUUCACAAAAAUAAAGGCUCUACGUAUACAAAUAAGAAUAAAGAAAAUAAAUAUCAUAAGGAAAAAUUGCAUUCUUUAUUUGGAUUUAAGAACUUGAUUACAAAUCAUAAUUCUUUUUAUGUUUUAAUAUUUAAAUUGAAUAUUUUAUUCCAAAAUUGUUACUUUUGUUAUUUAGAAAACAACAAAAGUAAGAAAUGAAAAUUUUCAGUUGUGAUAUAUAUAAUUAAGAUUUAAGAUUAUGAAAUAGCAAAACCGAUAUAUAUCUAAAGAUAAAUUUCAAUGAGUUCUUUUUAUAAUUAAUUUCUAGCAGCAUAAAAUAGGUAUCCAUAUAAUAUUAAAUUUUAAAGUGUCAUUUAUAAUAUAAACUUUGAUGAUAACCAAUCAGAUGAGGUUAAGGCCACACCUAUUUUUGUUAAGAUGACAUUAUAAAUAAAAAAUAGAUAUAUAUGCUCAUUAAUAAAAAUAUAUAAUAUGAUAGGUCCAUAAUAUAUAUAUAUAUAUAUAUAUAUAUGUAUAUAUUGCAGAAGAUGAUGAUGAUGAUAAUAAUAAGGGAGAUGAAGAUGUUGAAGAUGAAAAUAAUAAUAAUGAAAAAAAAAAAAGACAUUCUAAUAAUGAUUUAGAUUCUGAUAAUGAUGGUAAAGGACCUGAUAAACAUAAUAUCAUCUUGAAUGAAGAUACUGUUUGUGUUAAAAAUAUUGAGAAGAGUAGUAGUAUUGGUGAUAAGGGAGAUGGAAAGAAACUUGAAGGGGAAGGUGUUGUUAAUAUAUUAGAAAAACUAAAGUAGGUGAUGAUAAUAUUGAUGAUUAUUCUUAUUUUUAUUUUCAGGUAUUCUUUAUUAAUUAUUUUAUAUAAUUUUAUUGAUUUUUAUUAUAAUUUUUAUUUGUUAAUAUAUUGAUAUUUUAUUUUAUUUUAAUUUUUUAAAGUGUUAAUCAAGAAUUUAAUAGUCAAAAUUCUGAAAAUGGAAGAAUUCACUCUAGUUCAUCUUUCUUUUCUGAUAAUAUUGAUUCUAAAUUUCUUUUAGAAAUUGACAUUGUUGUUAAUGUUGUACUUUCGAUGAAGUCAACAAAAGUAUUUUUUUUAUAAAAGAUACUAAAUAUAUACUUACAAUAUUUUUUUCUCUAUUAGUCUUUCAUAUAAAAUGAUAUUAUUAUGAUAUCUAUAAUAUACCAAUUUUCCUUGUUGGUAAUUCAUAUGAAAUAAUAAUGUUAUGAUAUCUUUAAGUUAUUACAUUUAUUAUGUUUUUAAUUUUUUUUUUAUAGGCCGGUGAUAUGAAAGUUCUAAAUAUUCUUCCUAUUCAAACUAUUACUCAUGUUCAUCCAAAAAAUGAUAUUACGUCUAAUUUUUAUUUGCAAUCUUCAUUAUAAUGAUUUUGGUUCAUUUGGAGAAUUUGAUUUUUCUAAAACUGAAAAAAAAAAGUUGUGUAGGGAUUAAUCCUUUUGAAAUUAAUAUUAGAGAAGGUCCAAGUUUUUUAGGUUGAGAAGAUUUUGAUGUUUGAAUUGAUGAAGGAUUGAACAAGAGGAAUAAGUAAUAUUUCUUUUUAUAAUUAUAUUUUUUUAUUCUUUUAAGUUUUUUAAUUUUUGUGUUUAUUUCACUUUUUUAUUUGUUGUAGAAAGAAAUUUUAUGUUGGACAAGUAAUGUGUUUUGUCCUGGUUUUAACUUUAGUUGUAGUAUUAUUACUACAAAAAUAUAUGGUUUCAUCAAUUGUUUAAUUAUAGUGAGUUUCUUUUAGGAUUUGUAAGUUUUCUUAUUUAUCUUUAAUUUUUUAUAUUUUUUGUGUUGUUUAUUAUUUGCUAGAUAAAAAUAUAUUAAAAUGAUAUUUGACAAUAUACUAUUUUUUAUUUUUUUCUUAUAAUUAGUUAUUUUAUAUUUUUCAGCAUAUUGAUAUGAUACUCUACUAUUUGAGGAAGAAGAGGAACUACUGAGAACAUAUGAAAGUUAAUUUCACAACUGUUGAUAGUUUCAUCACAUUUCUUUGUUGUACAAUCUCUACAAGAAAAAGAAUAAAUGUAUAUCUGUUAUUUUUAUGAACCGUGUGGUAAUUAAUUAUAUAAAAGUUUUUUUUUUAUAUACUGUAAUACUAUACAAAUUGACCACGUGCUUUUUCUAUCAAUGUUAAAAUUGAGAGUCAUUGAAUUUUAGUACAAUUAACUUUAAGGAUAAGUGCAGUUAUGUGUAUAACUCUAGGAGGUACGAUCUUUAUGACAAGAGAGUAGUUGCAGUAGUUGAGCCAUAUUCUAUUUUGUUACCAUAAUUUUUUCAAUUCUAGAGCUUUUUGAUCUUCAAAACGAUAUUGAUACUGCUUUUCUGGUCCUUUUGAAGGAAAAUCUAUGACUGAUAAUUUCAUUGUUUUCAUAGUUGAUAAUUUACUUUGUCAAACUUCAAGGUAUGAUUGUGUAUUAGUUUUAUUAUUUAUUAUUUAUUUUAUUUUGUUCAUAUUUUUAUGAUUUUAAUUAGUUGAUCUUUUUUUUUUUAGUGAUUAUAGUAUUUUUAUUCUUGCUUUUGCUAAAUAUUUUGCAUUUGGUGUUGAUAAGUUUACUGUAAAAUUUAUUGUUGAUGAUCUUCGUAGCCAAUAUAUUGUUGCUCUGUACAAUUAUGCAAGGUUUAAAGAAUUAGUGGAGAAGUUAGUGAGAUAGAGGAUCGUGAAAGAUCUACAAAGAAAAAAUAUUUAAAGUCAAAGAAGAAAAAAUAGUGAAAAAUUAAUAUUUUUAGUUUUGGAUAUGUUUUAGUUUUUAUGCGUAUUUCAUUUGUAUAACAUUUACUGUUGGAAAUAUAGUUAUUUUAGUUGUUAGCAGCAAAUUAUUAUGAUAUUGAAUAUUUACUUUUUGUUUUGUUCAUUUUGCUAUAUAGUUGUUUAUUCAUUAUCAGAAAAAAUUCUAAGAUUUUAACAAUAUAGUUUUAGUAUACUAGAUUUCUUUUGAUUAUAAUUAUAUAUAUUAUAUGAUAGUUUUAAUAUACUAAUAAAAUACUUUUAAUAUAAUUUUUUUCUGGUUAAUUUGAUAUUUUAUAAAAUAAUAAACAUUGAUUUAAUUCUAUUAGAUUUAACAAUAGAAGGUAUAAUAAAUUUAUUAAUAUUGAAAAAUAGAAUAAAGAAACAAGAAAAAGAAAGAAGUCCUCACUUUUCAUUUUCUAGAUUAUUAUGUACAAUUAAUGAGAAAUUAUGCAAUUUUUAUUUUAUUGAAGUUAAAUAUAUGUUUUUAAAUACUUUUAAAAUACCAAUAAGAUAUUUUAUAAUAUAUCUAUUUUAUAUGCUCAAAUUGAUUUUUUUGUAAAUUGAUAAACAUUUAUUCAAGUCUAAUUUAUUUAGCGAAUGUAUCAUGCAUUUAUUGAUUAUCAAAAUUAUAAAAAUUGAAUAAAAAGUUUCACUAAUCCUUUUGUAUUAAAGUUAUAUAUAUCAUAAGAUAUGGUUAACAUACCAAAAAUAUUCUUGUAGUAUAUUCAUAAGAUACUGUUAAUAUACUCAUAAGAUACUUUAAUAUAUUUUUUCUCUGAUUAACUUGAUAUUUUGUAAAAUGAUCAAACAUUGAUUCAAUUCUAUUAUAUUUAGCAAUGGAAGGAUUUACUAAUAUUGUAAAAUGGAAUAACGAAACAAGAAAAAAAAAAGUUCUCACUUUUUCAUUGUUCUAGAUUAUUAUGUAUAAUAAAUGAGUAAUUAUGCCAGUUUUCUUUUAUUAAUAUUAAAUAUAUGUUAUAAGAUACUUUUAAUAUACCAAUAAGAUAUUUGUAAUAUAUUUUUUUAUUUGCUUAAAUUGAUAUAUUACAAAUUUAUAAAUUUUGAUUCAAGUCUUAAUACAAUUAGAGAAGGUAUCAUGCAUUUACUGAUUAUCAAAAUUAUAAAAUUAACUAAGAAUUUUCAUUAAUGCUCUUGUAUUAGAGUUAUAUAUAUUAUAAGACACAUUUCUAUACUACAAAUAUUCUUGUAGUAUACUUUCUCAGUAAACUUUUUUCUGUUUAGAUUUAUAUAUCAAAAAUUUAAAAUAAAAUUCAUAAAGUAUGAAAUCAUUAUUUAUAAAUUCUAUAUUUCCUGUAAAAUCAUUAUUUAUUUAAUUGUUCUUUAUUAGAUUUCUACAUGUCUUUCUAUUAUAUCCAAGUUGUCUACAUUUUCUAUAGUUAUUUUGCCUUUGUAGUCUCCCAUGGUGCUUUGAUUCUUAUUUUUUUGUCUACCAGAUUUAAUCAUUCCUUCUGAUGGUAGAAUAGCUUUAUUUCUCACUACUUCUGAUAUAUUUCAUAUGCUUUCGGUAGUUGUUUCGUAUAUAGCCAACAUUGUCUAUUUAGUGUAGCAAUGUGAACAAUGUUCAUAAGGAUCCAGAAUAUAUUUGUUUAUGAUAGCUGAUACAUGAGGAUAUGGUAUCUCAUCAAUUUGAAAUUUGUUGCAUUUGAAUGUUUUCUUUUCCAUAUUAACUUGAACUUUUGAGGCAUUAUCUAUCAUAUCGUACACUUGGUCACUCGAUGGUUUCACCUACAAAUAUGUAUAUUUCAAAAAGCUAUUAANNNNNNNNNNNNNNNNNNNNNNNNNNNNNNNNNNNNNNNNNNNNNNNNNNNNNNNNNNNNNNNNNNNNNNNNNNNNNNNNNNNNNNNNNNNNNNNNNNNNNNNNNNNNNNNNNNNNNNNNNNNNNNNNNNNNNNNNNNNNNNNNNNNUGAUACUUUUAUGUAUUCUUUCUAAUUCUUUUAUGUGGUAGUUGAAUUCAUCAAUUGUGUAUGACUUUGCUACUAUAUAAAAAGAGUCCUUAAUUUUUUUUUAAAUUUUUCUUGAAUUUGCUUUUCAGUUGUUCAGCAGAUGAUACAUGCAAACUCCAUGAGAUACUUCUGGAUACGUUUUUAUAAUAGAAGUUUCACUACUUUCAUGCCUAUCCAAAAUUAUGCACAUGCUACUUCUUGAAUCAAAAGUUUUUUUUAGUCUAGAAAAAGAUCAUUCCUGUGAUGCAUCAUUUUCUGAAUCCACUAUGCAGAAUGUAAGAAGAAAGAUUUUGCCACCUUCAUCUUGUGUUGCUGCUGAGAGUAGAGUACCUCCAUAGGCCGCCUUUAAGAAAGUUUCAUCUACCACCAUUAUUGACUUGUAGUAUUUUCAUCCCUUGAUUGAUACAUCUAGAGCUAUAUAUAUAUAUUAAAUUUGUUGUUGUCAUCUCUUUCAAGAUCAACUAUUGAACCAAGAUUUGUAUUCUCUAACAUGUAUAAAAAUUUGAUACUAGUUGAUAAGAUUCUUCUCGAUCAUCUACAAAUAUUAGAUAUAUUUAUUAAAUAAGAUAUUCUUAGUAUAUCAUAGAUAUACUAUGUGAUUGUAUUUAAUAUUACUUAUUAAUUUAUUUAUUUUAUUUUUAAUAAUGAGAUAUUUAAAAGAUAUUUAUGGUAUGUGUAUAAGUUAAUUUAGUAACCUGUAAAUAAUAGUUAAAUUUAUUAAAUAAGAUACCCUAGGAUAUCAUAAGUAUACCAUAUAAUUGUAUCACACAUUAUUUUUAAAUUUAGAUUUACGUUUUGAUUGUUAAGUACGAGAUAUAAAAGAUAUUUAUGGUAUAUCUAAAAGAUAUAACAUAAUAGUAUAUAUAUGUACAAGAAAUAUUAUAUUAAAUCGUAAGAAUUUUCUUUAUUAUACCUCUGAUUUUUUCUAAAGUCUUUUUCCUUUGAUCUCCAUAGUUUAUAGAAAUACCAUAGUCUUGCUUUAUGUUCUUUAUUAUAUCAUUUGGAGUGUAUAUGGUUUUGAUAUCAAGGAACUUUGAUUUGGUCCACUCUUCUACAAUAUCAAAUGUUGCUUAUCGAUUGUCAUUGAAUCUGAUCUCCAAAAAGCAAUUAUGAAUAUUGUAUAAUUUUCUGACUUUCAACAUCUUUAACUUUGAACAUCUUGAUACUCUUAUAUACCAUUUGUAAUUGUCUUCUAUGCAUUGCAGUAGAUACUUGUUGUGACAUGACUUAAUCACUUUGUAUUGAAAGUGAUUUUGUACUAUAUAGAAGUUUAUGAUUGUUUCAAGAACUUCCUUGUCUCUAUACAUUUGUCCUUGUAAUACUCUAAAAUUAAAUAAAAUAAUAAUAAAAAUAAUAAUAACAAAUAAAUAAAUAAUAAAGGAAGAAAAAAACUUUUUUUCCUUCAUUCCUUUCCCUUCUCCUCCUUCCUCCCUGCUGCUGCUGCUGCUGCUCUCUCUCUCUCUCUCUCUCUCUCUCUCUCUCUCUCUCUGUUUUCCACUAUUUUCGGCCACAACCCCGCCGCCCAACCACCAAGCUUCUCUCCCUCUUCCUUCUUCUCGUCGGCGCCACCCUUUCCUUCUCCCUCUCGUCAUUUUCUUCGCUGCAGCAAAAUGGGAAGGCGUCCUCUUUACUGCCAUCGCCAGAACUACCACCUGCAGCCAUUUCUUUGUAAAUGCGAUGCCGGAAUCAAGCUCCCCACCGUCGACAACCCCAAGCUAGCUUCCCCUUCACCAUUUUUCCUCCACCAACAGCCUUGGGAGAGUCUCAGUGGAGCAACUCCCUUCUCACCGCAAGGGUUAGGCGGUGAUUUUAGUGUUUUCGGACUCCUCGCAAUUCAAGCUUCACGUAGGCAUAUCCGAAUUCGAAAUCCGGCACCGUUGGCAGUACCAGAUUUCAGACCCUGAUGUUUUUCGGAUGCGCAAUCUUGGAUUUUAGCUCGGUAUAAUUUUAUUUAGAUCUUGAAAAUCAUUAAAAAAUAUUUGGUGUAUCAAUUGUUAGUUAUUAAUAAUUAAUUAAAUUACUUAAUUAAUUAGUAGCAUGAUCCUAGAAAUACUACAGAUUAACUAUAGAAGGAAUUAUUAUUUUGUUGUGUAAAUUGAGACUGUAAUUAAUUAAAUUAAAUGCGAGGAAAAUACUUGUGUUGUAUCGUGAAUGAUAUUAUUAUUUUGUUGGACUAUUGAUUUUGUAUUGUGAUUUGGAUUGUGUUGUGGAGUCGGUAAAUAAUGCAAUUUUGGUGGCCCGACUCCCAUUAAAUAAUCGUAGAAUAUUCGAAGUGUUUCUAGCAGGAUCUAGACCCGUUUUAUAGGGAGUAAACGUCCAUAUUUAGGAAAGGUUUUGCUGAAUUUUCGGUAAAAUUCCUGAGUCUGGUUUCCUUAGGCAGUCUAAUCUAGGAGUUUAUGCCAAGAAAAGUUAAGAAUAUCAUACUAAUCGAGUUAUUUUUGUGAAUAGAUAAUCUGUCCGUCCAGCUAGCUCCAUCCGGAGUGUAGGAUCAGACUGCAGUGCGGCAGAACUGUGAGUUAAAGUCAUAUAGUCAACUAAACUUGUGUCAUGUUUAAAUUAAAUGCAAUACUAAAGGGUACAUAAGUACUAUGAUUAUUAUUAGCAUUAUUAUCAUUAAUUUUAUUUGAUUAAUAAUUAUUACGAAUACUAGAAGCGUCAUUAUUAUAAAUUUUAUUUUAUUUUUGUUAUUUCUAUAUCCUCAUUGUAAUCUAUUAUUAUUAUUAUUGACUAUUAUCUUUAUUUUUUAUUUUAUUAUUAUUAUUAUUAUAACAUAUAAUUCUCAUGUCUGUUAUAAUUGUAACUUCAGAAUGAGGCGGCAGUAGAACAUGCCACCUGAUGGGUUGCAUCAGGACCGCGCGCGCUGGUAUUAAUCAGAAACAGGUAGUAAAAGAUUAUUUUUGGAAUUUGCCCUGAUUGAAUAUAACUCUCUAGGCUGUGAAAAUUUGACUGUCGGAGGAAGGUCUCUGGUCGAGCGUUGCUCUCUAGGGCUGGCUUAUUUAGGAAUCAAGUGACCAAACUGCAUUUAAAGAUUCUGGUUGAGCUUCGCUCUCUGGGUGCCAGAUCUAUUAGAAUAAGAGAGCCAAAAGGCUGCUAGUAUUGUGGUUAGGGUUCUGCUGAGCUUAUAGUCCCAUAAACGUUUAAAUUGUAUUUUUUUCUGAAUCAUGGCAUAACACGUGUUUUAAUAUAAUAUGAUAUGUUAUUCCGAUUAAAUAAAUAUUUUAUUGAGAAGACUGUAUUUGUCAUAGGAUUAUAUGAUUUUAACUCAAUCUCGAGGCUGAUAGUCUCAAAUUUUAAAUUUUUCAGGUGACAGCUAGGUUCUCCGUCGUCUUCCUCUUAACAGCCCGACUUCCUUCUCCUUUGGACUUAUUGUAAUUAAUUUCUACUUUUGUAUUUUGAACUAUUUAAAAUUCUAGACUUUCCGCAGUGGUGUACCUAGCAUAUUAUAUUUGAAUUUGGUCUGUAACAAGUUAUGGAAUGUUUGCCAACAUCCAGUUAGAAAUCUAUGAAUGAAAUGUUGGGCUGUUUUAAUAGUAUGUAUAUGUAUGUAUAUUUGAAUUAUCGAUUAAUUAGGCUUACUACGGGUUUUGGUGGCCUUAAGUCUACACAUUCCCUAGUGCCGAUCACGGACCCAUAGAUCGAGUCGUAACAGUCCUUGCUCAAUUUCUAAUUGGUUUUUAUUAUUCAUUAUUUUUGAAUCAAUACUGUCACUUUCUGAUUCUUGCUCUUCUCUUUUCUUUUUUGCUUCUACAAUGCCUUUGCUUAUAGCAUUUGCAUAUUCAAUGAUAUUUGGAAUUCUUUUUUUGUCAGCUCUACUUAUUGAACUUUGUUCCAGUGCUAAUAUUGAUGGUGGUGCAUUUUCUUGAAAAAUUGUAAUUUUUAUAUUUGUUGAUCUUGGACAUGAUGCGUAUAUUGUGUUUUUUAUUCUCUUAGUCACAAAUAUAAUGUAAAGUGGAUAAAUUCUAUAAUUUACUUCUUCCUUUUUAACUCCAAAUAGAAUUGUAAAUCUAUAUCAUUUUGUACUUUAUGUGGUAGAUAUACGUCGUUCACUUCAUUCACCUCUCUUUUGCUUUGUAUUUACUUUAAUAUAAUAUCCAUUGAUGUAUAAAAGUUUGAAAUUGUUAGAAUCAAAAUGCACAAACUUUAAAGUUAACAAGUUCAUAUUUUCAUCCUAUUGUCCAUUGUAUUACACCAGUACUGGUAUUGCUUCUAUUUCUAUAAAAAAUUAUUUUAAAUAAAAUAAAGUAUAAUAUGCCAAUAAAAUACUCUUAAUAUACGAUUAGCUUUAUAUUUAUGAUUGAUUUAGUUAAACUUGUAUGAAGUUAUUACUCAGUUGUAUAAAAUAUACUAUGUAGAUAUUUAAAAUAUGUUUUUACUAUAUCUUUUCAUAUAUAUGUUUAUAUUAUAAAAUAAUAUAUGUAAAAUCAUAAGUUAAUAAAGAAAUUUUGAAGUAAAAGAAAUAUUUUUGAUAUACUAUAUGUUCAUUACUAUGAAUUUAUAAAAGAUAAUACUUAUAUACUAAAAAGAUAUAUAUUAUAAUCUUAUAAAAUUUUGAAAACACACAUACUGAUGCAUCAGUUUUUCAAAAUUGAAUUAAAAUUCAAAAUAAUUCAUGUCCUUAAAUAUUUUAUUAUAACAUUACAUAUACAGUAGGUUUUGUUAUUUUUGUAGAGUUAUAAAGCAUAUAUUUUUUGUUUUCAAAUAUAUUGAACUUCAAUUGAAUGUCUCUUUUGUGUUUAUCUCUAUGUUGAUAUAAUUUAAUGCAAUUUCUUCUCGAUCUAUUGUUUUAGCUUCAAAACAUCUGCAUUAUUGCUGAGUUAUGAGUUGAAGCUUGAUUUAAAUAUUAAAAACUAACACUCAGCUGUAUUACAAACUUGAUUUCUUCUUUUUUGCUGUUGUAAUAAUGUUAUUUUUGUUUGAUUAAUUUAUUUUUUGUUUGAUUUUCUAGUAUUCUUUUACUUUGUAUGUCAGGAUGAAGUUGCAAAAUUUACUGCUUUCAUGGUAGAUAUUUUGAUUUUGUUUCUUGUUUUGUGAGAGUCUUCAGUUUUGGAAAGAAAUAAUUGUUUUUAGUAGGAAAUAAACUUCAAAUUUGAAAAUGGUACAAAUAAAAUAAUUUGAAUUGAUUUUUCAUAGAAAUAAAAUCUUUAUUUUUAUACCGUAAAAAUAAAAAUUUAUAGCUUAUUUUCUCUAUUUAUGUAUUUUUCAUUCUUUUCCAUCGAAAGAGGCCGAAAAGCUUAUUGAUUCACGAAUUAAAGAAGAAAAUAAAAGAAUAUAUAAUAAAACUGAAAUUGAAAUGGUGAUUUUGGCCCGGAAAGGCCAAAACUACCUUUCAAAACCACUAAUUACGGCUACUCGUUUAAGAAAAGAGAGCAUAGAAUUGUAAAUUUCUCAAAACUUGAAAAAAGAGUUCUUGACGUUGAUAAUUCUGACAAUUGAAGGAUUUAGUAAAAUAUAAUUAAAUUUUAAAAAUUCCAUAAUAAAAAUUAAAAAAAGAAGUUCAGGUACUGGAUAUGGGUUUUGCCUAAUAACUAGGUUAAAGUAGGGGAUCAUAGUAAUUUAGCCUCAUAAAGAAAAAAGAUAAAGAUAAAAAGAAAAAGGAACAGCUCCCCCUCCCUUGGAAUCAAACAGAUCUGAAAAGACUGACAAGGUGUAAAUGUAAUUAGAGAGGAAUCUGAGAAAUGGAAGCCCACCUCUUGUCUUAACAUGAUAAAGAAAAAAAGAACAUGAAGGACCCUGUAUUGGGUCUGGCUGACAUAACUUGGUCUCCUCUUCUGUACCCAAAACAGGAAAAAAAAGAAAGAAAAUUAUCAAAGACCAACCAAUCACAUACUAAAGAAAAUUGCCAAGCACAAGAACAAAAGGCCAAAAGCAGUGUCUAUUCGAUUAAUAGUUUAAAGGUUAACUGGGCAAAUUAUAACUUGGAUCCGAAACACAAUACAUUAUGUUCUUUAGUUCAAAACGUCUGAGUUUAAUAGACAAUUACAUGUGUGCCCACUUAAUCCCAACAAUUGAAAAAGGAGAAGAGACACUAAACUGUCAUCAUAAUAAAAUAAUCUCUCUUUUUUGUCUUUUUUAUAUUUAUUUAUAAGAUUCACAAUUAAAAUUAUUUUUAUUUUAUCUUAUUUAUAGGAUUCAAAAAAUAAUUACAACAUUAUAUUAUUUUAGAGAAAAUUAUAUUAAUAGUUGUAUUUAUUUUACUUGUUUGAACCAUUAUAUUUGUUUAAUUCUUUUAAUGAUAAUUUUAAUAUUAUAAAUAUCAAUAGAAAAAUUUUAAAAUAAAAUUUUUAUUUAUAAAUUUUAAUAUUUUUAGGGGCAAUCUUUUGAAUGGCUUUUAAAGAUAAUUUUAUACUUUUGUAAUAUAUUUAAUUUAUUCUUUUCUAGUAUUAAAUUUUUUACUUUCAUGUAUAUUCAUGUACGAUAAGUUAUAAGCAACGUGAUUAUUAUAUUCAUCAAAUAUAAAAUUUAAAUCUAUCAUUUGUGAAUUGUAAAUUUAUUAAUUAAUGUAUAAAUUUAUUUUUAAAUUUUUAAAUUUUUGAACUAUAAUUGUGAAGUUCAAACCUAUCAUUUAUGAAUUUUAAAUUCUUUAAUUAACGUAUAAAUCUGUUUUUUAAUUUUUAAACUUUUGAAUUAUGAUUAUAAAUUUUAGAUGUAUGUGUGAUGAACUUAUAGUUUAUAAUUUAUGAAUCUUAUAUUUUUAAUCUAUGAUGUGGUUUCUUUUUUUAAUUUUUACUAUAAUAUAUGAACUUCAAGUUUACAUGUAAUAAACCUACAGUUUAUAAUUUAUGGACUUAUUAUUUCUAACUUACGAAUAUAUAGUUUAUGAUUGAUUUUUAUAGUCUUUAUCGAUGAAUUUAUGUUUACAAACUUAUGAUUGUGUUUUAUAAUUUAUAACUAUGAAUAUAAAUUUAUUAUUUUAAUAUUUCAAUAUUAUUAUUAAAUUUUUAAGAAUUAAAGUAUUGUUAUAUUAUCAUAAAAAAUAAUUUAAAUUGAAAUUUUAUAAAAUAAGAUCUAAUAUAAUUAAAAAUAUGAAAAUAUACUAGAUUUUAUAUUUUAAUAAAAAUUUAAUUAUUAAUAAUAUUUCAUGUAUAUGUAGAAUCUAAUCUUAAUAUAUAAUAUUUUUAUUAUAAAAUAUUAAUAUAUUAUUAAAAAUGAAUUUAGUGUUAUGAAAAAAUAUAUAAUAUAUUAAAUAUAAAAUAUAAAAUUAAAAUAAACAGUAUAAUAGUAAAUUAAUAAUAAUAAUAUAAUAGAAAUGAGAAAAUGAGUUCUAAUAAAAGAAAAAAUAUUAUCUAUUUAAUAUAAACUAGCAAAUGAAAAAAAUAUAAUUCCACACACUUGUAUGAAGCGUUGAGUACGUUAAGUAUAAAUGGACACGAGUCUAUNNNACUUGAGUUAUUUAUGUUUUCUUAUAUUCUAAUAGAAUUAUUUUUUGAGGAAAAAAAAGGCAUGGACAAUGCCCUUUUAUUACUUUAUAUUUAAUUUUAAUGAACAUUUGCUGAUGUGUAUAAUGGGGCCUAAUUUAAAUAAGUGGACAUGAUAAAUAUAUCCAUUUCAUGGAUUAAGUUGAAAAUUAAAAAUAAAUAAGAUGAUAAAUAUUUUAAUUUAUUUUUAAUAAUAUAUUUUAUAUAAUUAUUAAAUGAAAUAUUUAUUUAUAUAUACCUUUAUAUUCUAUUCAUUUUUUAUAAAAUUGGAUAUAAUUAAUCAAUGCACAAGAAUCAUAGGCUAAUUAAAUUAAGAUCUAUUUUGGAGUUAAUUCAAUUCUUGUACAAAUUUAGGAGUUAAUGUAAAAAAAUUAAUUUGACAUGUAUUAAAAAGUGUUGAGUGUUAUUAGCCAAUGAGCUUAAAAUUUACAGAUCUUAGUGUCAUCGAGAAUAUGAUUCCAGUUCCAGUACCAAGAAUUAAAAUGCCUUUUCAAGGCUCCAUAAAUCUCAUGGAAUGUAUUCCCUUAUAAAGGAGUCUGGACCAAAGCUUUCAUGAAGACGCUUCCUGCAUUUGGAGGAAUCCUUCUUUGCUAGUACCCUGCACGUGAUUGACAAUGGAAAGAUAAUUUAAAGGAAAACAAAAAAGCCAAUCAGGGAAUUUGAUUUUUUUGCCUGUUAAGUAAACAUCAAACUUUGGAGAAUCACUCUCAUAUGAUUUGACAGGAACUAGGGUGAAAAAUUAUUGUGUGGCAGAGUUUAGCAAACUCUCCAGGGAUGUCCUGUUAGGUAUUUGUUGCAAGCAAACUCAGACUACUUCUCAAACAAAGGGGUGAUUCAAUUUGGUAAACUGGUAUUAUAGGAGCAACAGAAACUCCAUUGUUCAAUGACAGCAAGCAACUAUAAGAUCAAAAGGGUCCUCUAUACAAGACGAAUUUUGACAUGAGCCAAUUCUCUGAUAUGAUGGGUGAGACAAGAGUGUAUUCAUAGAAUAGAAUAUACUUUCUGUCUUUUUUCAGUGAUUUUUCUCUACUAUUCUAGAAACAAAAUUAAGUACAGCGCACACUCAAAUAAGAAAAAUCAUGACCAUAAUUUACAAUGGAUGCUCAAAUUUUGGUUCAAAAACUCAUGUUUGAAGUGGCUAAAAUUUGCAAUUGGUUCCCAAACUUAUCAAUUGAAUCAUCACAUAAAUUGUAUAAGAGAUUGGCAUAAUCAAAGUUCAAAGAUAAAGGUUAAAAAUUUGUAAAGAACUCAAUCAACACCGGUUUAACCCAACUAAAGUGACAUAUUGAAUACAGUGAAAUUGCUUUCCAAAAACAAAAAUCGAGAAGGACAAUCAAUUACAAGUGUGUGAAUUAAAUCAUUAAUUACAAAAUAACAAACUAAACUUAAACGACAUGAAGAACCUAGGUCCUAAAAUCCUAAGAAUAGUCCAUUAUCAUUCCUUGAACACAACAUAUGCGAAUAAAUACAAUCAAGUGAUAAUAAAACCAAAAACUCCCACCCUACACUUGAAUAGAACGCUGCCCUCAGUGUUAGAAAAAGUGGGUAUAUAACACAGCUAGCACAUAAGAAGAGUGAAGAUCAUAUUAAAUGCACAUAGCAUAAGGGUAAGGCAAAGUGUUCAACUAAAAUAACAUAAGAUAAAAGAAAAAGGAAAGAAAAUAAAUAAAAUAAAAAUAAAAAAGAAAUGAAAAUAGAACUGGAGAAACAAAAUUAUAGUAGCAAUUUAAUAUAUAGUACCACCAGAGCAAUUAAUCACAAGAAUCUUAUUAGAAUAAUGAUACCACAUGACUUAUAUUCACUGCUCCGACAGAUUUUACCUAUCAUGACAGGGGAAACUUAUUACAACAUUUUUAUACCAUAAAACAUAAAACAAAGAUAUUUACAAGUUAAAUACCUAUAUUACAUAGUUCUUUACAUUUAGCGCACAANNNN